AAAGUAAAGAGUUAAAUAAAUAUUUUACAGAGAAAUCAAUGAAAAAAAUAUAUAUAUAUAUAUAUAUAUUAUGUGUAUUAACUAAUUGUAUAAUAUGACAAAUUAAAAAAAUUCAGGUAGAUAGUAAAAAAAAAAAAGGGUUGUCCUUAGAAAUUUGAAUCCCUGUUCAAGGGUACUUAUGUCCUUUUCCGUUUUAAUCAUUUUUAUUUUAUUGGAACCUUCUUGGUCCUUCUGAUUCUAUAUUGCAAACUUUUUAUUGCCGGAGAAAAUAUUUUCUUAGUCAAAUCAAUUGUUGCCAAGAGAAGAUCGGUUGUUAACAAAUUCAAUUUUUAAGCAAUUUUGUUUAUUUACUAUCAAUCCCAAACAAUAUUCAUUUUCUUUCUCUUCUUUUUUUUUUUGGUAAUAAAAGAUAAUUUAUAUGUAUAUAACCCUAGUUAGCUAUUACAUUGGAUAGAUUAGUGUUCCGUAAUCUUGCCAGAUUAAUACAAGUUGCUACGGACACUUGUUUAGUGGUAAUGUGUCACGUUAUAUCCUCCACUAGGUAGUGCGUCACCAUAGUAGUAGGAGUUAUAAAAACUACACAAACUUCAUUAGUAUUUCUAGUUCUUAGCAUGAUUUGCCAAAACAUGGGCUACUCUAUUGCCUUCCCUGAAGUUAUGCUGGAUUGUUGGAUUUCUGCAGUUUCCUCAGCCAGUACCUGCCAUGACAUUAGAUUGGAUGAGACCCAACUGCUGCCAGAAGGUAAGGGCAAUAGGGCACUCUACAAAGAUGUGCUUAGUGGUCUCAAUGAACAUAUUGCAGAUCUUGCAUCUAUCGUGAUAACACAACCAUAAAAAGAAUUUAAUUGUAGGGAGAGUGUUAAGCUGUCAGAUCCAACGUAAGUCUUUAGUAUGGUGGUGGCUAUAAUAGGGGUUAAUGAGCCUAUUAACUGAUUCCAUGUUGAAUCUACUAUUCUCAUUUAAGAAAGAUGAUAUAGUAGAGAGCUACGAGAGGCUAACUCAAUUGGCGUCCACAAUUCUAUAUCAACUUGGUAGCGUAUAUUGUUAGAUAACAUUUCCAUACAUAGUAUAAAGAUAUAAAGGCCAUCCUUGCCGAAUACCGCUAGUUGGAUUAAAAAAAUAGUUUUAGCACAGUUAACAAGGAUUGCCAUUGAAGGCGUAGUACAUGACAUGAAAUGGUAAACAUAAUAAAAUAAACAGAAAUAUUUACUAACCUACAAACAUGAAUAUCCACUUUGAAAUCCAGCCAUAAAGAAAAGUAUGAAACCCUAGCCGCGAAAUGAGGGAGAACGGGUGAAUAUAUCAUUUCUGAAAUAAUGAAAUGAGGGGGGGGGGGAGAAUAAUUAGGAUUUAGGGAUUUAGUCUAUGUGGCAGUGGAACCUUAUUGGCAUGCAAUGUGGCAUCCACAUGACAUUUAACAAAUUCUAUUGAUAAGAAGGAUACUUUUGAACCAAUAGUUUGACGGGAAGGACAGUUUUGAGCCAAAAUAUAGUUUAAGGAUAAAUAUGAGGUAUUUCUUAUAUUUUAAGGAUAUUUUUGACCCUUUCUUUUUAGUCUAUGUGGUAGUGGAAUCCUAUUGGCAUGCAAUGUGGCAUUCAACAACUUCCGUUAAUAAGAAGGAUACUUUUGACCUAAUAGUAUAACGGAAAUGGUAGUUUUGAAUUGAAAUAAAGUUUAAGGGUAUAUAUGAGCUAUUUCAAAUAGUUUAAGGAUAUUUUUUUAUCCUUUUCCCUAUUUAUUCUAGUAUUAUUCAACCUACUACAACUAUUGCUAGAAUGGGUAAAGACUAUUAUUUCAAGCAAUUUACUACAAAAAAAUAUAGUUUGAAAUGUCAUUACUUUGUUGCUAAUUAAAAUAUCUCAAUUAACUCACUCUUAGAAAAGGAGAGCUUUGCAAAAGAUAGGUAAACAAUAAUUUCUAUAAUAUGUGUUGAAUAGUAUUAGUGACGAUUUUUUAUUGUUUAGAGACCUAAAUUGUUUGUCGAUAGCCAAUUCUUGUUUUUUUAGUAUAUGCAUAAUACAUAAACAUGACCCUUAACUUGGUUUCAACAAACAACUACGCCCUUCAACUUUGAAUGUGCACAAAUAAACACGUAAACUUGUAUAAAAUUGUACAAGUAGACGCAAGUGCCCUACAUGGCAUAAUACACGUUGGCAUGUAGGACACAAAAUUGUCAUGUAGGAUGAAUGUGUAUAUUUGCUCAAUUUUAUAGAAGUUUAAGUACCUACUUGUGCACACCCAAAAUUAAAGGUAAUAGUUAUCGACUGACGUCAAGUUAAAAGUCAUGUUUAUGCAUUAUUCGUUUAGUAUAUCUUAACUAGUUAUAUUGCAACAUUAAUUUUAUAAUUUAAUAAAAUUCACUGGAUAUAGUUGAAAUUAACUAGUCGGAUAUAUUAUUUAUAAUAUGACAUGGAUUACCAUUACAACUUUAUUGUAUAUCAUGUAUAUAUAGUCAAUUAUUUUAACCAACAAUACACUGUAUAAAGGAGGAAAUAACUAUGAAAUUUAACAGUAGAGUGUCUUUUUAUGACUUUCAUUUUCGACGAUUGUGUCAAAUUAUGUCACCUAUUUUGCAAUUAUUAGCCACACUAAUCAGUAAACAAGUUACUGCAACAAUAUCAAACUCUAACAUAUGAAUACACUUUUUAUGUGUGCUGUAUUUGAUAGAAAACCGCAGUUGUUAUUAGCUAUGUAACUCUGAAUUUAUCACAAGAUUCAGCAAAUACAGUUUUACAGAAUUCUAAUUUCAUACCGAAACUAUUGAGUCGUUGAUUUAUGUAAGACUUGUUUAACCAUAAGAACUCGUCUUCUUUCAGGAAUCCACUUUGUCUUCGAUGGAGCAUCGUCUGAAACUAGUUUAUAACCAGCAUUUGUAUAUAAUUUUCGAGCACCAAAAUCAUCCUCGUAUGCCUUUAGGACUAGAUAUUCAAUACUCCAAACACUUGCAAGAACAUCACAUUCCUUAAGCAAAGCAGUUGCAACUUUCUGCCUCCUGCAAUUGUGAUCAAUAUCGCGCAAUUGUCAGCAAAAUUAGUAUUUUACGCCAUGUUAUAGAAAACAUCAAUUCAUUUUACUUGACCUGAAUUUGUUCAAUACAGCAACCCCUGAAAUAUAGAUAUAUUUUGUUGCUAAUGGAAUGUAGUGAAGGAUAUCUUUAUCUUCUUUCACUGUAGCAUCAAUGACUCCUACAAGAUGUUAUUCUUCCUCAUCGCUUGAGACGGCUUCCGCGACUAAACAUGCAUACCUAUGUACUCAACAAUUUUUAGUACAAGAAUAACAUUGAUCAAGAAUUGAAAAGUUUUGAUUCUUUUUUUUUUUUACCUGUCUGGUGCAUAAUGCUUGAGUCUGUAAUAAAGAUUUGAGAAUUGUUCAACCUACAUAAUCACCACAAUUCUCAUUUUCAUUAGUAAAAAGAAGAAGAAGAAAUCAAGAAUGCGUUUUUCGGAGAAUUAAGGAACCUUAAAGAAUUGAAAGAAGAAAUCAUUGGAGUAAAGUCGAUGUUCAUAAAAGGCAUCAGUUUGAAUAGCAGCAACUUCCAUCAUUUCUUCUUCACUCUCAAUUACUCUUCUCACUUUCCAUAAAUCAUUCGUUUCGUACUCAUCGCUCUUUUGUGACUUCACUUUAUCCCUUGAUCUUCUUCUUGUUGUUGUUGUUAAUGGAAGUGGAAUAGAUUGUCGAUUGCAACACUCAGCAAUGGACAAUCUUUUUGGGAAACAGCAAAUUCUUGUGGCUCUGUUAAUGGAGACUCUGCAUUUCCAUGAAAUUUCUUUCUGAAAGUUCAAUUGCCAUUGACAUUGCGCCAUCUUUUUCUCUCUUCCAAAGAGGGGAAAAAACUUAUUUGAUUUAUGGAGUUCAAUUGGUUAUUUCAGUUGUAGACUGUUAGCUUUUCUGUAACUUUAUUUAUACUCUUCUCAUUCCAAAUCUAUUUUUUUUUUAUUUCCUUUUCUUUUGUUACCUAAUGAAAAACAUUAGGGUGUGUUUGGUAUAACGGAAAAUGUUUUCUUUGUAAAUAAGUGGAUUUCAAAUUUAUUUUUUCAUCCUUGGUUGGUGAAAAGAAAAUAUUUUCUGAUAUUUGGUUAAUGAAUAGAAAAUAUUUUCCAGAAAAUGUCUUUUAUUUUUUCGUUUAAGACAAGGAAAUACUCUGUAAGAAAAUAAUUUUUUAUUAAUCGAGGGUCAUAUCCUGACACCCAAGCUUGGACUAGAUCCGACAAUCAUUCCAAAAUUUGAUCCUGAGAUCUCACCCAGACUUUUGAGGUGGCGUAGAGAUUGAAAUUUUUUAAAUUUAAAGUAAUUUUUUUUUAAAAAAAAAAUUGAGGGCUUGGUGUGUGGUCACGUAGAAAAAAAUUUUAAAAAAAUUCUACCGGGGUGGCUUGGUAGGGGUUUAGAGGUGGUGAGUCAAGUAAAAAAUGAAAUAUUUUUUAAAAAUAUAUUUAAAAAAAAUGGGGGUUGCCUGGGUGUGGCGUAAAAAGAAUUCUUUAAAUUAUUUGAUUUUGAUAAAAAUAAAAUUAAAGAAAAAAAAUUUAGGGGACUUAAGGAUAGCAUAAAAUGCUUUAUUAAAAUUUAAAAAUAAUUUUUGUAAAUAAAUAAUUGAUGGGGGUGACACAGGGGGUGAGGGGUGACGGGAAUGGGAUGGGGUGAAAGUAGGUGUUGGGUUAGGUAAAAAUAAUCUUAAAAUUUGAAAUAUUUUUUACUAUUUUUUAAUUUUUUUUGUUUGUUGGAGGGGGGGGGGGUGUUUAGGAGUAGGGUAAAAUAUAUGACAAAAAUAAGAAAAAUUUAAUUUAUUUAUUUAUUGAUGAGGAGAGUCGGGGUACAAUGUAGGUUUAAGAAAAAAAAAAUAUUAAAGAAUGAAGUGGAGUUUUUGAAAAUGUUUUCCUAAAUUAAGGGAAAAUUUUGAGGAAAAAUAUGUUGAUUUGAAAAAUAUUUAAGUCAACCAAACAUGGAGAAAUUGAAAUUUAUACCAAAACACCCUUAGAAUAAUGGAUUGUUACAUAAGGUGAUUGUUACACAAGGGAUUGUUUUGGACAAUAAAAAUUAAAUGACUAUGUAAAAUAUUUAGUAAAUAUAUUUUAAUUCAUAGAUAUCGAAUAAAUUAGACUCAAAAUGAGAUAAAUUAAUUAUGAUGUAAAGGAAAAUGUUUGGUUCAUUCCUUAAAAAGGAAUUGGUGGCAAUCUUUACAACACUUUCUUUGUCACAAUACAUGGAUGUGGGAGAGAAAAAGUGAAUGGUAAAAUUAGUCAACAAAGGCAAGAUCAAACAUAAAUUGAUUAAAAAUAUAAAUAUCAUGAAAUUUCAAACUAAGGAGUCCAUGAAUGGCCGGGGGUCUGAGAAAUAUUUCCCAUCAAUCUUAGAAUAAUGAUUGUUCUACUCCUUGGGUGUAACAAUAGUGGUCACAUCAGUUAGGUGAUCCAUGUUCUUUCUUUGGUAUACGUCCAUUGGUAAAGAAAGUAGUCAUCACUACAAAGAUUGUAACAUACAUUUAUGCUUUAAAUAUCUUCGACGUCAUCCCUAAUAAUUAAGAGAUCAUCAAAAUAGAUUUGCAUAAAAAAACCUCUCUUGUGGUGAGGAGGAGAUAAAUAGAGAAUAAUGAUUGUGAGUCUAUCGAUAGCCACAUUGCACAAGAAGAGGCUUCAGCUUAGAGAACUAGACUUUGUCAAGUAUCUUUUGAAUUACUUUUCAACACUCUCCCUUGAUUCAAAACUAAAAGCUCUAAGUUAACCUUGGAAGAAUUUAUGCUUUGCUUGCGGAAGUGACUUCGUAAAGAUGUAUGUUGUUUUCUCAUUUGUAUCAUAAGACUUCACAUUAAUUUCUCCAUUAGAAACAAGACUUCAAAUAUAGUGAUAAUGAAUAUUUAUGUGCUUUCUUUUACAGUGGAAUGUUGACUUCUUUGUUAUCGCAAUAGAAGAUCUAUUGUCACAAAAAAAAAACUCUUAGUUGCAUUAACUGGUUUGGUUUCUGAUUAAAAUCAGCAACAAGUCUCUAUUACCAAACUGCUAGACAAGCUGCCAAAAUUUUUGCAGUAUAUUAGGCCUCUAAAGUUGAUAAGGUCGCUGCUUGCUACUUUUUUGAACUCAUUCCUCCAAAUCCAAGAUCAAACAAGAAGUCAGAUGUUCUCUUUGUAUCAUCAAUGUUGUCAAUAUAGUCACUAGUAGUAAGUACAGUUAAUGUGAAAUUUGUUACCUUAGAAUAUCAAAUUUCAUGUUUUGUUGUCCUAGUGAUGUAUCUCAAUAUUCUCUUUAAUUUGCAUCUCCAAGGCGAAGCUUGUUAAAAUUAUGCAUAAAUCUUCAUACAACACUAAUAGAGAAAUCAAUGUUUGAUUUUGUAUGAGACAAGUAGUUCAAACCAGAAGUUUUGACCAAAAUGAGCUAUUUCUAAAACCAAUUCACCAAAAUAAUAUGUUUUUAACUUUUUUCACAAAACUAGUAUAAACGUACUUUAUGGUAACGUUUUAGGAUAUUUUCAUUAUAAAAAUUCAACGGACAAAAAGUUAACGGGUUGGCGACGUUAAACACAUAAACGUAACUGUGAGUAACGUUUUAGGUGUAAAACGUUACUCAAGAGUACGUUUUUGGAGAAUCCAAUCACGGGCCACUGACUCCAAUCCUGCAAAGGCGGAGUCAAAUCAUUCAACGGUAAAACGUUACUAUGAGUGACGUUUUACACUUAAAAUGUUACCUUGAGUCCGUUUCUUAAGAAUCCAAUCACGGGCCUUCGACUUCUGCAAAUUUAGAAUAUAUUUCGCUAUAAAACGUUACUCACAGUAACGUUUUACCUUAAAAACGUUGCUAUCAAUUACAACACUCUGUUAAAGUCAUAUUCCUCCAUUUUUCAAACUGACCAAAGUGACUAUAAAUAAAUGUUGUUGUAAUUUUUUUUCAUGUUCAAAUAUAAUUCAGCAAAAUUUUUCCUUGUGUGGUCCAUUUUAAAAAUAAUAUUCAGAAAAUUUCAUCAGGUAUGAAGUAAAUAAGUGAAGUUUAUCCUUUGUUAUGUUCUUAUUAUAGCUUUAAAAUUAUCUUUCUAAUUUAAUAAUAUUGUUUUAAAAAAUAUUUUAUCUUUAUGUGUAGGAUUAAGAUGACGAGCUUUGAACAUAAUGUGAUGGUUGCUUUGUAUUGGGGUGGAGAAAUAAUUACGGAUAUGAACGGAUUUAGGUAUACUGAAUGUGCUAGAACGAUUAUUAGCAUGUCGACUUCAACUACCUAUGUUGAAUUGGUUGGAUUGUUACAUGAGAAAAUGGGAACAUAUAGUGAAAAUAUUCAUAUGGAUAUUUCUGGAAAAUAUCCAUGUUUGAUUCAAGGUAACAAUACAAGGGUCAUUGAGUUUAAAAUUGAGAAUGACCAAUCUUUGCUACAAUUUCUUUUCAUACCUCAAAAAUUUGCGGAUAAGAUUGAUAUAAAUGUUUUGGAGAUGUAUGUAAAGACUGUAUCGACAGAACAAAAUGUUGCAUUUCAAGUUAGUGGUCAUCAUGGUUAUCACAUGAAUUUGUUGGCUCAAAAUUAUGGCCUUACCACGAUCAAUCAACCUCAUUUUGUAGAACCGAUUGUUCAACCAUCAUUUCAACAAUUGUUGAUGCAUGAUCAUCGAUCAUUUGGUGAAGGCUCAAGUAGUCAAAUGCAUAUUGAUAACAGUCACAUAGAAUAUGAGGCUAGGUAAACAACAAAUCUUUAUUUUAUUAAAUUUUAGUCUAACAAUUUAAUAAGAUAAUUUUUAUUGUAAGUAUACACAAAUUAUCUCUUAUAAAUAGAAGAAAUAAUAUUUUAGAAUAUUUAUUAUCGCUUUUAAAACAAGCUUGUAUAUUUAUAAUUUUGCUAGAAUUUGACUAAUAUUUUUUUACAGAGAUAUUGAUAUCAACGUUGAUCUAUAUAAUGAUGUAAAUGCUGAAAUUAGUGAUGAAAGUUCGGAGGAAGAUGAACCUCCGAAAGAUGGUGAUGAAAGUGAACCUGAUGAAGAUAUCGAUGAUAUUAGAGAUUUUUCUCAAAAUGGUGUAAAUCUUCAUAAUCAUGAUCAGGGUGUGUCUCAUGACAUACCCUAUUUCAGGACAUUAGAGAAUGAGGAAGACAUUUUUAUGUCUACAUGUGAAUCUGAGAUGGAAUGUUGUUCCGUUUGGUCUGAGCAAGCAAAAAAGAUUUAAAAAAAAGGUAUGCUUUUAAGUAGUAAAGAAAAGUUGAAAAUGGCUGUAACGAUUUGGAGUUUGCACAAAAAUAAGGAGUUCAAGGUGGUAACAUCUACCAAAAGUCUAUGGGUUGUGAGAUGUAAGUUUUAUAAUUUAUUGGGUUGCAUGUGGUUUCUUCGAGGACGACAAGUUAGAGAUAAAUUUUGGAAGAUAGGAAAAUAUGUUGAAAACCAUAGAUGUGAGACUGAGGGGCUUUCUAGCGGUCACGCCAACCUAAAUACCAAUUUGAUUGCAUCACUACUUCUAAAUCAAAUUAGAAAAAAUCCUAAGUUCUUGGUGGUAGAUGUCAUUUCAAAGGUUCAUGAAAAUUUUGGUCACCAAGUGACAUAUAGAAAAGCAUGGCUUGGACGUCAACGCGCUUUUGAAUUGGUAUAUGGUGACUUUGAGAAAUCAUUUAGUGACCUACCUAAAUUUUUUGCAGCUUUUCAACACUUUAUCCAUGGAACAAUUGUGGAAUGGAAACAUGAAGAGUCUAUGAGUUCAUCGGAGGUAAAAACUUUUAAAUUUGUAUUUUGGGCUUUCAAGCCAUGCAUUGAUGGAUUCCAAACAUGUCGCCCAGUUAUUUCAGUAGAUAGAACUCAUAUUUAUGGAAAAUAUGAGAUCAAAUUAUUAAUUGCUGUUGAAAUUGAUGGGAAUGAUAACAUUCUCCCUUUAGCGUUUGCUAUUGUAGACAAAGAAUCAAAAGAGGCAUGGAAAUGGUUUUAGAAAUUUGAGUGCACAUGUGAUAAAAAGUAGACAAAAUGUAUGUGUUAUAUCUGAUAGGGCAAAAGGAAUCUUGACUAGUUUGCAGGAGUUGCGGCGAUUUCAAGAGCCUCGAGUCUUCCAUCGGUUUUGCAUAAGACAUCUUAAGAGUAACUUUCAAUCUAAAUUUCCAAACAAGGACCUCAGCAGAUUGAUGUGCAGGGCUGCUUCAGCCCAUCAAGUAAGGAAGUUUGAGUCCAUGAUGUGGCAAAUUAAAGAAGAAAAUAUCGAAGCAUAUGCAUACCUCAUGGAAAUUCCCUUGGAUAAAUGGACUGUUAGCCAUGAUGAUGGAAAAAGAUGGGGAAUGUUGACAAUAAAUCUUUCAGAGUCAUUCAAUGGAGUAAUGAAAAAAGCACGAGGUUUGUCUGUCACUGCUAUGAUUAGACUUUCAUUGGAGCAAACUAUUGAACGGUAUACCCGUAGGUAUCAAAUAGCACACCAACUUGCAGAGCAAAAUGAAUUAUGGACCGGGAGGUUCAAAAUAAAGUGGGAGAAGAAUUAUGAAAGUUCAAAGAGGCACUUUGUUUUUGAUUGGAAUAUACCCACAGGAGUAUACGAGGUUAGAUCUAUACAAGUUGAUGGUACUGGUGGUAAUCAUUGUGUUUCACUAAAUGAAAGAAAAUGUGAUUGUGGAAAAUGGGUUAAUCUGCACUUCCCGUGUUCACAUGUCAUAAAGGUAACUGAUAGAAUGAGAGGGCUUGCUAGAAAUUUUGUUAGCGAGCAUUUCAUAAUAGAGAAUUAUGUUGCAACAUAUUCUGGGUCAUUCUCACCAAUUGGUCAUGAGUCAUAUUGGCCAUCUCUAAGUUUUACAAUGACAAGUAAUGAAUUCUAUCGUCGUCCUAAUCGGCCAAGGACAACUAGAAUAAAUAAUGAAAUAGAUCGUAGUUCUACAGUGUAUGAGCGAGCUUGUGGAUUAUGCAGGCAGACAGGACAUGAUAGGCGUCAAUGUCCCAACCAUUAUUAAAUUUAAGUGAAUAAUUGUGGGUCAAUGUCUAAUGGUGUUAAUUUUCUUUAUGUUAUCUAAUGUAACGUGAAUUUUUCCAGAUUGCUAAUAAAGGAAAAUUAUUAAUGUUAAUUUCCAAAUUUCCAUUUAUAUUAAUUUCCUUUCAAUUAUUAGUGCAUAAAGUUAUCUAUUACAUAAGCUUAGAAUCUUAGAGGGAAAAACUAACUUAACUUAAAAAUUCUCACAUUACUAAUACUCAAAUAAUUCAAAAUAUAUUUGUUGCCAACCUUGGUGAUUCCCAAGCUGCCAACCUUGGUGAUUCCCGAACAAAAUUUCAUAUUUCAAUUAUUAGUGCAUAAAGUUAUCUAUCACUUUUCACAAACUUGAAGUUACAUUAUGGAAUACUUGAAAAACACAAACUAAAUAUAAAAUAAUUGAAACAUUCAUGUAUUCAUAGAUCAUGUUGCUUUACAAAAUAAUGACUAGUAGCUUCAUUCUUCACAAAAUAUCUCUACUAUUCACCAAGGGUUAUCCAGAAUAUCAACAAGCUGCAUCAACCUAAGAAAAAAUGAUUAAGAAAACUUUGAUGAGUUACAUUCACCAAGAAUCUCAAAGUUAAAGAAUAUAAAUAUCAGCUAAAAUUAAGUCAAACGAUAUAUUUAUAUAUUAUGCAUGCCUAUUUAUAAUAUAAGAAGCAGCAAUUCAACUGCUUCAAAUAUAUGCAGAGGGUGUAACUAAUUAAACUUGCAACCAAUACACCGGCGUUCCAAAUAGCUCAGUUGUAGAGAAGAGGAGACAUAAAAACAAAGAGAAGAAAAUUUCUCAUGAUAACCACUCUGAUGGAGGUAUUCAUCUUUAGUAGUCACAUUUUGAACUUGCUGCCAUCGUGAAAUUCUGGUAUUUAUCUUUAUUUUCUGUAUGGGAUGUUUGACAGGUACGAAGGAUGCAAAUACAAGGAACACAAGUGAGGUAGAAUCAGAUGUAUCUUCCAAAAAAAUUAUACAAGAUGAUGCACUCGAUGACGAGAACCAGACCUUCUGCCCAGUUGUUGAAAAGUCUAGAUGGAGUUCAAGCAGUAAAAUGCCAGAGAUGAUUCGUGACAAAUGUAAGAACAGGGACUCAGAGGAUGAUUCAAAGAAAGACUUGGUUUCAGCAAAGAAACCAGAAGCUUAUAUUUCCGAUGUGUCAACGCAGAAGGGGAGAGUCAACGAAACAAGUCCUUGCAGAGUAACUAAACAAGCAUGAUACAUAUCACUGUUUCAACUAAUCCUUGUAGAAGACAGGCAAAAAGACAGGCAAUGCAUCAAUAAAUGUUUGAUCCAAACCAGAAUCAUGUAAAUGGAAUAACUGUUGUAACUGUCUUUGCAAAGCAUCUGAACUAGAAACUUCAGGAUAUCCAUUAGAUUGAGAUGAUGCUGAAGAAGAAGGGUGUUUGACUCCCUGACAAACAAGAAUAAUUUUCAGUUGUUCGACUAAACAGAGGAGCAUUUAUGUCAAAAAAAUAAAAUAAAGAUGUUAAUAGUAUCAGUCCCACAACGCUUAGGAAAUAUCUUAUGCUUCUCCUUCGCCGAUGGUUCACCACAUUCGUUUGCAUUCUCCACUUCAUUGUUGGAGUCCUCUAAAUGAUUAACAACACCAAAGGUCUUAAUGGACAUUGGCAGCCCAUGUGAUGAAUUAAAGUUGGGGGCAUUCUCAAAAUGUUGAGGUCGAGAACCACCAAAUAUAUUCUCAAGUGAUGAAAGACUAGAAUUCCUUAAUAUUUGUGAUGCCGUGUAUGGAAUAAUAUCAGUAUUUGUUGGUUGAUAUGUCAUACUUGAUGCCCCGGGAGUGAAUUCUUGAGUUUGGCCCCUUGAAAUGGAACAAAAAUCACAAGUUGUGUGAUCAUCUUCGGAGACUGAUUCAUCCAUUUCAAUAGGUGCUCGUCCUUUCUCAACAGCAAGAGCCCUCCUACCGGCAACACCACCUUUUCCUCGCCUACGAACCGGAUGAUGUAAAUGAUCAUCAUGUACCUCAUCUCUUCUAUAAUCGGCUUGUACAUUAAUCCUAGCAGCCUCGUGCACAUAUGUCAAGCACUUUUCUCCUUCAUUUCGGACCAUUGCACGAAAUAUGUAUAAAUCCUCCAUUGAUGGUUGAUCACCAAGGGCUUUUGCUCUAUCAACCAUGGAAUGAAUAUGACGCACCUACACAAAGAUCAAUUUUUUUUCUUACAAACAUUUUUCAUUCUUUUUUUUAACAGAUGCUCAAACAAAUAUCAAACUAAAGAACUUAUUUUAUAUUUUUUAAGAAAAAACAUAGGUAACAAUUUUCCAAGUAACAUUUUUCGAGAAGAAGCAAUAUUAUACUCAAAAGAUAAAUCACAAACACACUAAAUCUAAUACAUACCAUUGUUUCAUAUGCCGUUGAAUUGGGCACAUAACCUUCUUGUUGUUGAGGACGCUGAGUAGGAUUACCAAUAACAAGACGAGUAAUGCGUAUAAACCAAAUAAGGUAAGGGUCAUCAUAUCGAAGUGGUUCACGAUUGACCGGAGCAUCACAAACAUAUUGAAGUCGUUGGUUCCAAAGAGGCAACCAUUGUGCAUGCUCCAAGUACCAAUUUGUAUUUCGUCUGCCCCUACGAUCAUGGUGAAAAUGUGUUGCAUCAAAUAGAAAUGGAGUUGGUAUCGUUUGUUUUAAUCCAAAUUGUCUCAUAACUCGAUCAGGCAAGUGAACCUCAACGAUAUCCCAACAAAAAAUUGGAGCUCUUACACGCCAUAUGUCUCGUUCAAUUUGACAAUAAUCAGGACGACUCUCAAUUAAGUCAUCCAAAUAUGGUUCCCAAAUAAACUACAUAAAGAAAAAUACAUGAGUUUCAACUACAAUUUAUACAUAAUUUUUUUUAAAGAAAAACAGUAUAACAUCAUACCUGAUCCUCUGUCAUGGAAUCAAGUGCAUCCCUAAAAACUUUCAACACAUGCUUAGUGGUACCAGUCCAACUAAAAUGUGCAAACCAUCUAGUAGCACGUGGACCCCUAGGUAAACAAGCAAGAAAAUUAUUUUCGAUGUCCCUUUGUGCUAUUACCUGAGGUCUGAGGACGGUUACUCUCUCCCAUGCCCAAAUCUAAAUAUAAUAUAUAAAUAUAUAAUUAUGAUAUUAUAAACUAGAAGAAAUAUUUAUAAAGAAUUGAUGUAAUUAUUAAGUAUGCCUGAAGUAGUGGUAGAAAGCCAGCUAUCUCAUUUUGGUUACUCUGUGAGGCCUUACAGAGAAAGCGAUACAAGCACGCUAAGGUGGCACUACCCCAACUAUAAGAGCUAACUACAUUGAGAUCCUCGAGCAUAGGAAGGUACAUAAGCUUUAGAUAGUUGCCGGAUGUAUCUGCCAUCAUCAUAACAACAAUCAUCCAAAACAUGUAACAUCUAGCCAUUUGAUCGAUCAUUUCUUGUGUUGUCAAGUCAGGUAACUUUAGUUGCUCGAACAUAUGCGCAUUAAGUGUAGUUACCUUGAGGCUACUACGAUUGAAGUCUUGAGGACGUGGAAUAAAACCUAACAAUCUUUGACAAAUAUUUUGCCAAUCCCCUAUGGUCCUUAUCGACUCAUCACCAAGUACUGGAUCACCAUUCACAGGUAAGCCAUAAAACACUUCUACAUCUUGCAAGGUGAUUGUCGCCUCACCCGUUCUAAAGUGAGAUGUAUGAGUCUCGGGACGCCAUCUCUCUACUAGUGAAGUGAUCAAGCUACGAUCAAUAGAAGGUCGAUUUGAUCUAUAAACACCAUAUAGUCCUGAUAACUCAAUCAUUUCUAAGACUCGUGGAUGAAUGGGAUAUUUCUUUACGAGGUCCCAAAAUUUUCCAUCACAGCUCCUCGUAUUUAAAAUCAUAUUAACACUUCCAUUCCAUAUAUCCCGUGACCUAUGGGUAAGUUGUUGAAUUAGUACCGAUGGUUCAAGUGGAUCGGCAACCAAUCGAUAUGCACUAUAACCAGUCAUAUACGUAUCUAUUAAACUGAAAAAUCCAUAUGAAAGUAAAUUAAAUAUAAUUGUUAGUCCAAAAUAUAACAACCAAAUCAAAGUAAUGUACUGUCACCAAAUUGUUUCUCUUUGCAUCAACAAGAUGCAUGAAUUCAAAAUAAAAACAGAACAUGCAGAUUAGAAUUUCUUAAGUGAUUAUUCUAUAUAACCAAAACGAUAUAAAUACGAGAAGAUAGAAAUUCUAAAAUUCAAGCAUUCCAUCUACUAGUUUGUAAGGAAAAAAAACAUACCUCAGGGCUCUAAUACAGGAAAUUAACUUGAUUCCAAGCUUUCCAGAAGAUUGAUAGCCACAAUUUAUCGUGAAACUCGAUAUAACAAGAAAUCCCCAAAAUUGAUUUGGAAAACUACCGCUACCAUUUAUCCACAAAAUGAAAUUUUAAUCCAUUCAUUGUCUUCCUGUGUUUUUGUUCUUUCACACCUCCUCUUCGUCCACAAAUUACCGAUCGAAAAUGGAACUAAUUUUAUAUUACUGACCAUACAUGAAUAGGGAUGGUGAAGGAACUUACAGGUGGCUAUAUAAUCAAUAUCAUGCGAAAGGGUUGGAGAGUGACCCAAUUGAAAUUGACUUCACUCCUCCCUUCAGGUUUGGGAGCUUUUCUGGUUUGUCAUGUUUUGGUUUAGUUUACAAGGCACUAAGAUACUUAUGCGUUGCUUCUGCAGACGGAUUGAUAUGGUAGAGGAAUUGGAGAAGAUUGCAAACUUGAAUAUACCCAAGGAUCUCUCAAGUGAUGAAACCUACAAAUAUCUCAUAGAUGCUUGUGCGAAUUUUGAGAUCAGAUGUGCUCCACCUCUAACAACAACUAGAUUACUUGAUAAAGUAAAAUUUCUUUCAGAUAUCUUUCGGAUAGCCAAUUUUUACAUAUGCAAAGCUUAGAAAGUGACAAUGGCGGCUGCCAAUAUUUUUUUACAGUGAAAGGGUGAAAGGGGUGAAAGGGUUUAGCCUUUUAGAUAUCUUAGGAAAUUAGAAUUGCUUAGCAGAUUUAGCCUUUCAAUUUUAAGUUAAUAACAAAGUGACGUCAUUUAAAGAAAGGGAUGGGUCAAGUCACGUUUUAACAUAAAAUCGUUACUGUCAGUAACGUUUAUUAAGUUAACGGCGUUAAUUUUUUUUUAAAUCAAAUAAAGCCUAAAAUGUUACCAUAAAGUACGUUUAUACUAUUUUUGUAAAAAAAUUAAAAACGUAUUAAUUAUGUAAAUUGAUUUUUAAAAUAACUUAUUUUGGUCAAAAUAUCUCAAACCACAUAUCAAACUUCUAAAAUAAACAAUAUUUUUCAUUUCAGAACCAUCAUCAUGACACAACUUCUCAUAAAUGUUCAUUGGUGUAGAAAUAAUAUUACAAUUUUUCAUGUUGAACUUUUUCAAAACAUAUGUUAAAUUUUUAUGUGUGAAAGAAAUAUACCCUCAACUCAUUGUUUCACCUCAAGAUCAAGAAAAUCUUCAUCAUGCAGUAUUUAAAUUUAGUGAUGAGAAUCACUCAAACCCAUAUAUAUUAUAUCGUCAACUAAAUACAUACAACCAGCAAAUCAUUCUUAUCUUCUCUUUCUCUCUCUAUAUUUAGAGAAAGAGAGUAGGUUCAUUGUUGAUCCUUUUAAAGCUGCUCUCCUAGAAAUAAAAAUCUAUUCCGAAGUAUCACGCCAACGAUGCUUGUUUUAAGCUAUAGGGUGUCUUUUUAAUCUGUAAAUCUUAUUUUGUUUGUCAUUCACUAUAAACCUUCAAUUUUUAGACAUAAGCUUUUCAUUCCAAUCACCAUUUAGAAAAGGGGAUUUAACAUCAAACUGGUACACUGUUUAAUUUAAUUUUGUAUUCAAAAUUAAGAAAGUUCUCAUUGAUUCAAAGUGGGAUAAUGCCAAAGUACCCCUCAACCUAUGCACAAAAUCCCAGAGACACACUUAUUAUAUACUAAGGUCCUAUUAACCCCUUGAACUUAUUUUAUAAGUAGUUUUCUACCCCAUUUCAGCCUACGUGGGUCAACCAUCAUUGGGCCCACAAGAUAGUGUCACGUAGGCCAAAAAGGGGAAGAAAAUUAUUUUAAAAAUAAGUUCAGGGGGUAAUAGGACCUUAGUAUAGUAUAAGUGUGUCUUUGAGAUUUCAAGCAUAGGUUGAGGGGUACUUGUGCAUUAUCCCAUUCAAAGCAAACAAAUUUUUGAAUAAUUCCAUAAUCGUUUUCAGAAAUGCAUAAUACUGACUUCAUCUCAAAAAUCUGAAUAUAGCCCUAAUAUCAUACCCGACAACACAUGGUUAAGACUUAACAGCACAAAAUCAUAAAAAAAUAGCAUUGGAUCAUACCAAAACACGUUCAUCAUACCUAAUCUCUGUUAUCGUACCAAAACAAUCUUUUUCCAAUGGUUUUCGAUUAAUUUUGACUGUCCUAAAAUUGGGGUUUUCCUGUGAUCACUAUUUAUAUUAUUUAAUUACCAUUCUUACCACGAUAAAUCCAUGCACAAUUCUUAACACAAAAAUAUUCAGUUAAUCACAUAGCAAUUUAUCACCAACCCAUGGCAUAUAAUCAAGUUAUGAAUUUAUCAGAAUUACAAAAGUCCAGACAAUCAUAUGCACAUAAUUUCAGUCAUUCUGUCAAUACCAUGCAAUUAGAAUCAUCAAGCUUUAUCAAUAAUUUUACAAGUUCUUUACAUUAUGUUUGCAUCAUGAAUUAUCACUUAACUAAUCGUUCGUCAAUGCAUUUAAGUGACCUUUAAGGUCAGUUACUAACUUCUAUUACUUGUGUCCCUUCAGCCGCAACAAUGACAUUAAUUUUACUUUGUUGAGACACCAAUUGGAAUUUAGAGAUACCAAAUAAAUUCAACUCAUAUCACAAGCGACAGACCACACGAAAGGAGUGAAGAAAUGAGACAUCUUAUUAGAAUAAUUCCUAGUGUUCUGAAAAUUAAAUGUGGAUGUCAACACAACAAUCCUCGGGACUUUAUUCGAUAUUUUCUCUUGUAUCAUGAUAUUGGUAACCUAAACUCUAAUACCAAAUCGUUCCGACUCAACCUAUUAGGUUGCAUGGGGACCUACGCUAACACCUAGAUAAGAGAACCGUUAACCACCGACCUGGGAUAUUAAUCGCAGAAGUGAGGAAUUAUAAGCUAAUACCCUAUAUAUAAAUAAAAGUACUUUUUAAUCUAAAGUGAAGUCCUUCUGUAAACAAAUACAUUGAACCCUCCCAAAGAACUAGUUUUAAAAGGUACAAAAACUUCUAAGGGAGAAUAAAAUUAUGAAAUAAAUAUGACACAACUCUCACCAUAAAGAAAGAGAAGUAGAAGUUUUUGGAGAUCAUAUUCAUCUUUACCUAAGAAACAUCAUUAAUCCUGCAAUAGGCUUAUACCAAGUGACAAACAAUAUGUACUGGUAGGCAUCAUCACUUUGUUAGAAAGCAUAUAUGCACAUCAGAAGCAUACCGGAAUCUUUACUUCUUACAUGAAUAAUAGAUAACAAAUAUUGUUUAUGCUAAAACACAUAAGCUUGCUAAAAUUUAAUUCGAUAAAUACAUCUUGAAGUGCGAGUAUAUACCUUCAAAUAAAUUCUAAGUUAGACAGAUCUUCAAGUGAAUCCACAAGAUAGACAACAACUAUGGUCUUCUACAAAGAUCUCAAGUUCACAUCCGAACUCUCUCAAUAUUUGGGUGGGCAAGUAUCGAGUAGAAAACUAAACAAUCUUCUAUGGUUAAAUAAUCUUUAUUAUACAGCUAUAUUCCCAAUCCAAAGAGGAGAACCAAAAUACACGUUAUUUUUAUUUCUAAAAAAAAUACAUGCUAGUUUUCUUUUUAUAAGAAAACUCACGUUUGUCUCCCCUUUUUCCUUUAGCAAUAGGAUUCUGAGUUUUAAUUAAAUAUGUGCACUAUAAUGUCACGUCCUGCUAAUUCUUAGUAAGAUGUUGCAUCCGGAUAGGGGCGGAAAAGUCUAGAUUUAUGGAGAGGUUUAUAGAAAACUCUAGAAGCCCUUAAAUAUUUUAAGAAGACUUUGGAGAGCUCCAAAAGAAGGACUAGAUACUUUCUAGGAAAGCAUUAGAAUUUCCUAGAAAGUGUAGAGAUUUCUAAAGAAGGGACCAAAGUGUAAAUAUAUAGGAAUUUGUAAAGUAAUUUUAGAUUACACUUUAGCCUCUAGGUGUUAUUAUGAAUAGAGGUGUCACUCAUUUGUAAAUCAUCCAUCCUAGUUGUAAGAAAUCUUCCAAGUAGUAAAAGUCUUCUUCCAAAGUUCACAAAUCUUUGUAAGUCUUCCUUUCAUUCUCUUAUCGGUCUUAGUCCUAAAGGCUUACUUGAGCUUACAAGAUCAUGAAAGAUUUGUGAGUAAGUUUUCAAGUGUCGCACAGAAUAUUCGUUAGAACUCUAGUUCCGUGACAAUAUGGUAUCAGAGCAAAGGUUUGUACUAAGGGAAUGGCUAACGAAGGAGACGUAAAUGCCUCUAGCACCACCAACCUCCGUCCGAUGGAGGAAAAGAGAACCACAAGGGAAAGAAGCACCAAAGAAGUAGUGAGGAAAUGUUGCUCGACCCUCCACCAAGCGAGGCACUAACAUCUCACCCACCUUCGAGCACCGAAGCAAGUGACGAUAACCGUGGCGAGAAACCCAUUAAUGUCACACCUGGAGAGAAGUGGAUCACAAGGGUUGAAACGGUGAAGCAGGCCGUGGAUAUAGUAGCCAGAUUUUGAACGUAGCUGGUAGCAAGUUCAAGAAUCUCGAGGAUUUCACCCUUGAGGAGACCGAGAACCUAUGCAAGAUUUUGGAGGGACGCCAGCAUGCGGAGUUUGAGAUGAAGGAGGCUAUCACUUCCUUGGAGUGCCAACUCAUGGAGGCAUGAGGCAUUAAGCACGAUUGAGACCAUGAAGGCCGAGAUCAAAAGCACUCAAGGAGGGCGUAGAAGUUGGAGGAUCAUCGUCGCUUGACCGAGAUCAUGAUACCAAGGUCGAUGCUCCCAAGCCACCUAUGUUCAAAGGUGUUUGUGACGUGCAAGAGGUGGAGAAUUUCUUGUGGCACUUGGAGAAUUACUUCAAGUGUAGUCUGCUGAAGAGCGACGAGAACAGAUCAACACUGUCGUGUUGUAUCAUUUGGAGAUGGUCAUGUUGUGUUGGAGACGUAAUGAGUCGGAAAUAGGGAAGGGAGUUUUCACCAUCAACACUUGGGAGCAAUUCCAAAUGGAGUUCAAGAAUGCAGUCUUCCCUAAUAAUGUCAUCUAUGAGGCGAAGCACAAGUUAAGGGAGUUGAACAAAUGGGAAACAUACGUGCAUACGUGAAGGAGUUCAUUAACCUCACACUUCAAAUUCCUAACUUCACGGAUGAAGAUAUGUUGUUACAUUUCAUAGAUGGGUUGCAAAAUUUGGCAAGGACGGAGUUAGAACGCUGACAGGUCAGGACUAUAGAUGAAGCCAUCACAAAACUCGAAGCUUUGACAUACUUUAGGCAUGAGAAACCUGACAGAGUGGGGGGAGAAGAGAGGAGAGGUAGUCAUGACCAUGGUGGGAGAGAUUAUGGUAAAGUUAAAGAGCAGUGUACACAUUCCAAAAAGCAUAAUAUAUAGGUCUGUGGCGAGAAGUUUGGACAUCAAAGUGAUGUCGAGGAAAAGGCUGAGCCUACAAAGAGGAAGGGUUGCUAUAGAUGCAGUGGGUUGCAUGGAUAUGCAAAGUGUCAUGAAUUGAAGAGACUUUGUGCUAUCGUGUGAGAGAUGAAGGGAAGGAUGCACAAGAGCAAGGACAAGGUGUAGAUACGAUGCAAUUGGGUUUGGUAGGACUAUGCGGAGCUAUCGCCAAGAAACAAGAAAGCCGAGAGAAUACGGCUUGCAGUAUGUCGACAUCACGAUCAAUGGAAAAUUUGCUCGUGUUAUGGUCGACACAUGUGCAGAGGCCAAUAUUAUGACCGAAACGGCAACGACAAUGUUAGGACUGAAUUACAAUCCAAGUUACGCCCAACUCAGGACGGUCAACGCACCAUCGACUCCCGUGAAUGGAGUUCGCAUGAAGUAAGCAUCAUGCUAGGCGAGUGACAAGGUAAGACCAACUUCAUUGUCAUUCCUUUAGAUAUCUUUGAGAUAAUUCUUGCGCAAGAAUUCUUCCAGCAAUGUCACGCGGUGAUCGAUUUGUACCUCCAUCAACUCUUGGUCAUGGAGAAAGGAGGAUCAUGCAUGGUGCCCCUGGUUAAGGUACCCAAUGCAUCUCAAAAAAAAACUAAGAAGGAGAAGUCGACAUUUGUAGCCACUGUUGCAAGUUCGAAAGAAAAUAAUGGAACUAAAGGGUCCUUACCACCGUACACAAAGAAGGUUAAAGAGAAAAAAACAAGGUUGUGAUGCCAAAGGGGCCGCUGAGGCGCUUUCCUCCUAGGAAGGAGGUAGAUCAUAAGAACGAGUUGGAUAUAAGUAGGCCGCUGAGGAAGUUUCACAAGGGCAUCGAUCGAGUCAACAGAUUAUUGGUUGUGCAUGCACAAGAUUCGGAUGCCUAUGUAGCGGCCAUGCGACGCGGUCGUCGCAUCAAUAGGUGGGGGAGAGUGUCACGUCCCGUCAAUUCUUAGUAAGAUUUAGUAUCUGGAUAGGGGGAAAAUCUAGAGUUUUGGAGUGGUUUAUAGAAAACUUUAGAAGCCCCUAAAUGUUUCAAGAAGGCUUUGGAGAGUUCUAGAAGAAGGACUAGAUAUUUUCUAGAAAAGCCUUAGAAUUUCCUAGAAAGUGUAGAAAUUUCUAGAGAAGGGACCAAAGAGUAAAUACGUAAGGACUAAUAAAGUAAUUUUAAAUUAUACUUUAACCCCUAAUUGUUAGUAUAAAUAGAGGUGUCACUCGUUUGCAAAUCAUCCAUCCAAGUUGUAAGCAAUCUUCCAAGUAGUAAAAAGUCUUCUUCCAAAGUUCUCAAAUCUUUCUAAGUCUUCCUUUCAUUCUCUUAGUGAUUUUAGUCUUAAAGGCUUACAUAAGCUUACAAGAUCGUGAAAGAUUCGUGAGUAAGUUGUCAAGUGUCACAUUGAACAUUUGUUUUAACUCUAAGUUUGUGACAAUAGGGACCACAAAAUUAAUGCAACUUAGAGAUAAAAUUAAGACCCCGAUCCUCUCAAUUAUCGCCGCUAUUACUCCAAGUAAAAUUACCUUGUAACUCAUACGCUUUAUCAACCCACUUCCUUCCACUGCCAACUCCAUUAUUUAGACAUUUCAUCCUCAUGCGAUCAUUAUUAAACCAUUUUAUUACAUAGAGAUUCCUCGAAUAUUAGACCAUUUCAAACUCUAUCAACCAAUCGACUACUCUCCCACAAAUUUCUAUGUCAACACCGUGAUCCUUGACGAAUUUACUAAAUCAUCUGCAAGACUAUCACUAACCACUUUGACUCAACCACCACCCUAGACAUGUUUAGAAUGUAACAAUCACCUUAACAAAAUUCAUCACACUUUGUGGGUAACUCACAUCACCAAGAAUCUCUAAAAUAUCAGUACAAUUUUUAGUAUGUAAUUUUGGUUUAUACAUGAACCAUCACCCCAUCAUUUAAAUAUAAUAAUACAAUCCCUCAAGGACCAAUAUGUGACAAAUAUAACACAAUCAAUAAAUUUGGUCUACUCACAGAACAAACAUGUUAUAAUCAUGUUACAAAAAACUAAACUCGAUUCUUUCGUGAAAUUCACAUAUAAAUUGUUAGUGUACUAGGUGUGGUGCCCUUAUGAACCGUUAGUAUGUAUCAGUGUGAUACCCGAGCCAAUCAUAUAUGAAUAUUCAUGUAUCAGGCGUGGUAUAUGUGUCAACUGUUAGUGUUUAUUCUGUGUGAUACCCAAGAAAAACGUGACAUAUCAUGUACCAAUCAUGGUAUCCGAACCAACCAUCAAUCACACAUCACAAACAAAAUGAAUGGCAAGCAUAUUUUUACAUCUAAGUAAACACAUUCAUUGCAUGCGAUUGCAACUUAUAAUAUUUCAAAUCAAACACUUAUUUUUCUCUAAUUAUAUAUCAUGCAUACAAUACUAAUGAAGCAGUUGACAAGAACAUACAAAAUAAUGGAAAACAAACAACCAUCAAUUAUUCGAUUCUUUCCCGAACAUUUCCUGAUCAUAGUGUGAUUACCCAUGAUAAACUUUCUCAGGAUAAUGCCCAUUAAUCGUCAUAAUUCAUAAGAUCAACAAGAAUUAAGCAAAUAUAUCCUCAAUCUAAACCACAACUAACAACAUAUUCAACCUUUCAAAUGUCGUGCAUGGAAGCUUAUACAUGUAAUAUAUGACGAUCCACGAAAUAUGAUAUAGGUAAAGACAAGUCUAAUUACUCAACUAAAAAAACUAUUCUAUAUGGAUGUCAAGCAACCAUUGAAGACUUCAGAACACCUGACUCUAUGGGGGAGAAUCCUAGCCAACGUAGACUGAAAAUUUGUGGAUUUUAACUCUUCUUGCGUUGAAGUCUCUCUCCUUUAGUCCAUAGUUUUAGAGGUUAGAGCUGCUUAAGGUUUUCUUAGAGUAACCCUCGUCUAUUUUUAUAAUAAUGAAAAGUGAAAGAAAAAUAAAAGAAUUUGCGUUUCUAGGGUAUGAUCUCGUCAGCCCCACUAUAGAGGUCAUACAUACGCUAUAGAGGUGUCGCUAUAACAUGAGUCUUUCCGCUAUGAUGGGAUGACAUCAACCCGAAUCAAUUCAAAUUUCUAAAUUUCGUUGUGUCUCGAAGCUUUCACCUUGACUCUUUUUUUAAAAAAAAAAUUACCUCAACUCAUAUGACAUAAAAACGUCUCGACCCACGACCCACGCCCACAUUUUUUUUUUAUAUUUAUAUAUAACAUAAAUUAUUAGCAACUCUUUUUAUUAAAAAAAUAUUUUUAAAAAAAAUGGUAAGAAAAGAACUCGAAAACUAGAUUUGGCCCCAAAUAUUAUUAAAAUUUUUUUCUAGUUUUUGGGUUAUAGAAUUGUUUUUGCCAAAAACUUUUAUUUUGGACUUGGUAAAAAUUAAGUCAAUUUUUUGACAAAUCACCCCGUAGGGGAAAAACGCCAAAAAGAAGUUUGUGUUGUCUUCACCAGAAGCUCCUGGAGUUUCCCACAAUUUUCCUUCUAAUCAUUUUCUCAUGAAAACCCCAUAACCAAGACAGUGACUUUCUCUUUAUCUAUCGCCUUUUACAGUAUAUAUAAUACUCCAAAACAACAAAAUCUUGAUUCCCUAGACCCUUCUAGAAUUGUCCUUUACCAAUAUCCUUUCUCUAUAUACAUCCCUCUCUCACUUGCAGAGUUUCAACAACAACAAGAAUUGUCGAUCAUUUCAGUAUUUCACUUUCACUCACUAAACCAAAUCAAUUUUUUCAGUUCAAAAAUGGCUUCGUCAGCAACCCACCAAGUGAAAAUCCCAUUUUCCGGGCAUAAGCUGGACAACAGAACCCCAUUUUCGGGAGGGAGAAUUAGUUUUGCAUCACGGAAGAAAUGUUACAGUGACAAGGCGGUGAGGCAAAGGUUCAGACCCAUGAAAGUAGUGAACGAGAAGGUGGUGGGGAUAGAUUUGGGGACGACGAAUUCAGCGGUGGCAGUAAUGGAAGGUGGGAAACCGACAAUAGUGACAAAUGCGGAGGGGCAAAGAACGACGCCGUCUGUAGUGGCAUAUACGAAGAAUGGAGAUAGAUUAGUUGGGCAGAUAGCCAAAAGGCAAUCGGUGGUGAAUCCGGAGAACACUUUCUUCUCAGUGAAGAGGUUUAUAGGGAGGAAAAUGGCGGAGGUUGAUGAAGAGUCGAAACAAGUAUCUUAUAGAGUGAUGAAGGAUGAGAAUGGGAACGUCAAACUUGAGUGUCCUGCUAUUGGUAAACAGUUUGCUCCUGAGGAAAUUUCUGCUCAGGUAUGUAUGGCUGUCCCAUUUUAAUGGUGAAUUUAUCUCCUACUUAUAAAUUUCACUGCAAUAUUGAACUUGGAAUUAAUGGGGGUUUUCAACUUAGGAGGUAAAAUUAGGUUGAGUUCUUGCUUGAUGCUCGACUGUUUUUGGUUACUCUGUUUUCUUGAUUAUCAAGUUUGAAAUUUUGUUAUAGUGUUUGUGUUUAAGAUGACAAUUCACAAGUCUUCCUUAUUUUUUAAAAUUUUGUGUAGUCAAAAUGAAACAAACAAAUUGAAACGGACGAGUGCUAUUUCUGUACUGUUUAUGAGAAAUCAUAUCUUGGUUGUGCCACUGUGACUAACCAUACAAUUUGUGUUGUUUUGAGCUAUAACUGAUAAUGGUGCAGUCUUCCUGUAGACAACACUGAUAAUAUGAAUGGGGAAUCACUGAUGAGUUGAAGCUAGCUAUUGUGGGUUUUAUUAUCUUUCAUCUCUUAGUUAAAUUAUCUGUUAAAUUUUGAUUUGUUUAACUGAACAAUUGAAAGUUGGUAUGAUUAUUAAGCAAGUAUGGUUACUUAUUUGUGAUGGAUGGAGUUAUCAGACGUAUUCGUGUUUACCUGUUUCAAUAGUAAUUGAACCUUCAAUGAGGCAUAUUUGAAAACUAUGAUGCUCAUUUUCUUGUUAUUCAAAGGAAUUGCUUAAUUUCUGGUUCUCAGGUCUUGAGAAAGCUUGUUGAUGAUGCCUCGAAAUUCUUGAAUGAUAAAGUUGCUAAAGCAGUGGUUACAGUACCAGCAUACUUUAAUGACUCUCAGAGAACUGCUACAAAAGAUGCAGGUCGCAUUGCCGGAUUAGAUGUUCUCCGAAUAAUCAAUGAGCCCACUGCUGCUUCAUUGGCUUAUGGAUUUGAGAAGAAGAGUAAUGAAACCAUUCUAGUCUUUGACCUAGGAGGUGGUACUUUUGAUGUAUCAGGUAUGAGAAGACUAUUCGAGGCAAGAUCUGGCUUCAGUCUCAAUGCUGCCUCUGUGCUUCUUACUUAUAGUUUAGUUGAUUAUUGUUAUUAACAUAAACAUAAUAAUAAAAAGGAUUACUGCUGCAUCCUGAUCAUAUGAAUCUUGUUUUUCCAGAGUUCUCUUCCUUGGUACUGGGUUUUGGGUUGUAUUAUAAACUUGAGCAUAAUUCUAUUACCUCUGUCGUCUAUGCUGUGACAGCUGAUACAUUAAUGUUUUUACUUAUGUAUUUCAACAUAGAACAUCAACAAUAUGGAUGGAAGAAAAAGCAGUGAUAUGAAGUCUCGUGGGUAGAAUUCUAGCUUUAAAUGUGCCUUUGCAUCUACACUAACUCAUAUAUCGACUUCUAUGAUGCAGUUCUUGAGGUUGGAGAUGGAGUAUUUGAGGUACUUUCUACCUCAGGGGACACACACUUGGGAGGUGAUGAUUUUGAUAAGGUAUUAAAUCAUCAGUACCUUCUCUUUGCUUGCAUGCAUCUUGUUUAAUUUUUCCUUGUUUUGGGGCUUCUUCUGUACAAUGCUUACACUUUUUUUCUAUCAAACAGAGAAUUGUGGACUGGCUUGCUGAUACUUUUAGGAAAGAAGAAGGAAUAGAGCUUCUUAAAGACAAACAAGCGCUUCAACGUCUUACUGAAGCUGCUGAGAAGGCAAAGAUAGAAUUGUCAACCUUGACUCAAACUAAUAUCAGGUAUCUCAGUUACUAUCUGGUUCUUUCUCCUUUGCUACCCCUUUCCUUCUGGAAAAAAUGGAGGGUGAAACUGCUGCUUUUGCUAUAACAAGCUUUAAUUGAAUGUACCUUUCCUUUUUGUGCAGUUUGCCAUUCAUCACUGCUACUGCAGAUGGUCCGAAACAUAUUGACACAACAUUUACAAGGGCCAAGUUUGAGGAGUUAUGCUCAGACUUAUUGGACAGGUACCAAUUUUGUUCACAAAAAAAUUACUUGUUUAGUAUGGGGGUGUCGAUAUGAAAAUAUUGGUUUCAGCUGUGCUAUAGCUUAGAUUUUGAGAUGAUCUUGCUUCUGUAAACCGAUGUAAUCAUCUUGUUCCGAAAGAUUUCGCUGUUUGUCCUUCUGACUUGAUGACUCCGAUUGAAUUUGUCUUAACAGGCUUAAGACACCAGUUGAAACUGCCUUGAAGGAUGCCAGCCUUUCCUUCAAAGAUAUUGAUGAAGUAGUUCUUGUUGGUGGAUCAACACGAAUACCGGCUGUUCAAAACCUUGUCCGCAAGAUGACUGGUAAAGAGCCUAAUGUUUCUGUCAAUCCUGAUGAAGUGGUUGCUCUUGGAGCUUCAGUUCAGGUUUGUGUCUUUCACCUCUCUAUCUCUUCAAAUCAUCUUUUGUCUUAAGAUUUCGUGCAGUAAUUAUACUGGUGCAAUAUUGUGAUCCGGUUACGUUAUUCUCCUUUAUAUUCUCAGGCUGGUAUCUUGGCUGGAGAUGUUAGUGACAUCGUGUUAUUAGAUGUAACUCCACUGUCACUUGGUCUGGAAACUCUGGGUGGAGUCAUGACCAAAAUUAUCCCAAGAAAUACAACACUACCAACUUCAAAAUCAGAAGUUUUUUCAACUGCAGCAGAUGGGCAAACUAGUGUUGAGAUUAAUGUGCUGCAAGGUGAAAGAGAGUUUGUAAAAGAUAACAAGUCUAUUGGAAGGUUCCGCCUGGAUGGAAUCCCUCCAGCUCCCAGGGGUGUUCCCCAGAUUGAAGUGAAGUUCGACAUUGACACCAACGGUAUUCUUUCUGUCACGGCUACUGAUAAGGGUACAGGAAAGAAGCAGGACAUUACUAUAACUGGUGCUAGCACUUUGCCCAAAGAUGAGGUACACUCGUUAGAUCUGUUGUUUCCCUUGCUGAAUAGAGGAUGUUCUUUUAAGAUCGGUGUUUUAUCAACUUACAUCCGCUGAUCUUUCCUUGCGUCCUAUCAAGUAUUGCACAAUUGUUCAAGUGGAUUUAAGUUGCAUGUUACGGACUGUGAAAUAUUAAUCCCGGAUGUAUUUGUAUUUAAUCCUAUGAUACAUUUCUCACUGAUGUUACUUUCAAUGAAAUGGAAUUUCAGGUUGAUAGAAUGGUUCAAGAAGCUGAGAAGUUUGCUAGAGAGGACAAGGAGAAGAGAGAAGCCAUAGACGCGAAGAAUCAAGCAGAAUCUGUCGUAUACCAAACCGAGAAGCAGCUUAAAGAGUUGGGAGAUAAGGUGCCUGCUGACGUAAAAAACAAAGUGGAAUCCAAACUGAAAGAGCUCAAGGAUGCCAUUUCCGGUGAUUCUACUCAAACCAUUAAGGUCGCGAUGGCUGCAUUGAACCAAGAAGUAAUGCAGCUGGGACAGUCUCUGUACAGCCAGCCAGGUCCUGCCGGUUCUGGUCCUUCUCCUGGUGCUGGUACAACUGGAUCAUCUGGUUCCACCGGUAAAGAUGAUGGAGAUGGAGAAGUUAUCGAUGCAGACUUCAGCGAAAGCAAUUAAGAAUCCAUCGAUGUAUCAAAUUUCUUUUAGCAAAACAACACCCAUGGUAAAUAUUUCGUGUAAAUUUGGGAGGAUUGUAUGUGUGGCUAGUUUACUGCAAGUGUAACGAAGUUGAAGAAUAGCUUUUUCAAACCAAUCUUGUCUACAGAAGUACAGUUAUGCUCUAAAAUCUCUGAGUAAUUGCGAAAUCAAUUGCUCUGUAACUAAACUUAUUUCAAUAAUUGAAGCAAGAUUUUCCAUUAUUGAUUCUGAAACUGUAAAAUUUCAUUCAUCUGAUCAUAGCUCAUUGUGUAAAUAUAUAUUAUAAUAAGUAAGAAGAAGAGUGUGAACAGUUCUUCCCAAGUAGGAAACUGGUCACACAUUCACAAUCAUUUUACACUUGAAACAGAUAUGAAGACAUUAAAGAUUUUAAAACAGAGGGGUUAACAAAAUAAAAGUCAUGAAAAGCAACACUAAUUCAUCUAAAUCGAAGCAAUUUGAUGCAAGCUCUUAGAAUCUUGUUCCCUUUCUCCUUGUGAGCAUUAAAAUUCUCUGUUUUUUCAUGAGGAUUAUCAUUUUGAUGAUGAAUUCUGCAAUAUCCUCCUCUACCUCCUGCAGACGAAGACGAAACUGAAGAUGAUCUCUUCAUGGGAACACUACUUCUCUCUUUCUCCGUCAUGGAUUUAUAUGAUGAAACAGAGCGACUUCUUUCUAAGAUAACUCCAAACAUCUCUCCAUCCCCUUCUUCCCCAUUUAUAAUGGUCUCAUGAUUUUUGUUGCUUUUUUCUUCAUGCGGUUUAGAUAUUAUUUGUGGGGUUUCAGAUAUUGAAAGAGAAAGAUGAUCAGAAAAAUCUAUAGCUACUGAUUUUCUGUUGCUUUUGGCUUUACUGUUGAUUCUUGAAUAUCUAUUCAUCUUUCUUUUUUCUUUUUUGUUUUCUGCAGAAAUGGUAGUGUUACUUUUUGCAGUGUGAAUGUGGGGUUUAAAAUAGCAGUUAGAAAAAAGAAUUGUGUGUUGAAGUUGUCAAAAGGAAUUACUAAGAGGUAAGUCAAUGAUUGGGCAAAGAUGUGUGAUUGUGAUGGGUAGAUUACUCGUUUUAAUUUGUUUGUAUGAUUUUAAUGUGACAUAAAAUUAUUUUUUUAAAAAAAAUAUAUUGAAUAUUAUAAAAUGUUCUUUAAUUUUGUAAUGUUAAGCAUGUUAAUUAUCAUGUGAAAAUUAAAAGUUGAAAUAUAUUUUUAAACAAAUUAAAACGAAAACAUAAAUUUUUUGAGCUUAAUUAGGAGGGAUAUUAUGAGUUCCCUUGCUCUUAGGAUAAGUUCAUAUAGCUGAGGGUAGGUACUGAAUUAUUCGAUUUGAAUAUAUAUUGAUCGUGUUUUUUGGUUUUACAAAAGUAGUACAAUUUACUUUGAAUUAGAAUAAGUUUUCGGUUUGGUUCUUUUUUGUUAUUUAAAUAUAAUUAUUCAAUUAUGCUAACUAUUUUAGGACAUAACCAAAUAAUUAUAUCACACAUAGAGGAUUAGGUGUGCAAGGCUCCAUCAUAUAAAUUGAGCACACAUUUGGUAUGUCAGGUGAAAGUAACGUAUGAUGAAAUCAUUCUUAUGAUUGGUUAGAAUUUGAUUAGGAUAAAUAAUGUAUUAAAGUUCUUUUAUAUUUUAUUCACCUAUUUACUAUGUUUGUUUUUGUUGCUCUUAUAUUUUAUUGAGUCGUGAAUCAAAAUAAGCCACAAAAAUAUAAAAGUAAUCAAAAUAAGUCACUAUUUUAUUAAGUAACUAAAAUAAGCUUAAUGGAAGAAAAAGUUCACUAUAUCCAAUAAUUUAAACGUUUUCCAUUAGUUUCAUAACGUUUAUUUUUAAUAUAUAACGGAACUUUUUCUUAUACUUUAUAAAGUGGAGUUUUUUCUUCCACUUUAUAAAGUGGAACUUUUAUUCCAUUUUAUAAAGUGGAACUUUUUAUUACACUUUAUAAGAAGAAUAUUUUUCACGUCUUGAAGAAGUUUUUUCAGUGUUGUCAUAUAAAUUAUAUUGAUUUGAUAUGUCAUUAAAACGAAAAAAAAUAUUUCAUUAUGUAUUUUUAUUAUUUUAUUCUGAAAAAUCUAUUUAAGGACGUUUAUGCAUAGUUGAUAGCACCUACAACAUAAAGUCUUCUAUAUUUGUUCAUUUCAAUCUAAAAAAAAUAUCUUCUACACGUAAAGUUAAAGUUUCAGUUUAUUGGGAUGGCGAAAUUAUACAUGACGGAAAUAUCAUUUAUUAUAAUUGUCCUCCCAAACACAAUGCUAAAUAUCCAAUAAAUGUCUGAUAUCAUAAAUUUAUUUUAUCAAUUUAUAAAAGAAUGGGUAUAAACAGUACGAUUAUAAUUUGAUUAUAGCCGGAAAAUACCCUACUUCAUUUUUAUCACAAGGACAAGUAAAUUUUAGAGAGUGAAUUAUAUAUAAUGACGAAUCGUUGACCGACUUUUUAAGGGUUCCAAAUGACUGUAUAGAUCAAAUCAAGUCAACAAUACUUGGAAUAUCUGUUAGGAAGGAGCCUAAGAUUAGUCAACAAUGUUCUCCUUUAUCGGUCGAUGUUCAUCCCUAAUUAGAAAAUCAUAAUAGCAUUGAUGGAUUUUCGAUAACUCAAUUUACUGAUUUUCCAAAAAUGACUCAUUAUCAAAAUACUCUUACCGGCCGAUAUGAUUUUGAUUUAAACAAAACUACCAAUGAUAGUGAUCGGUAAUGCUCAAUUAAUAUAUUUCAGUUAUUGUUUGUUGAUUUUGUCAAUUAUUUAUUAAUUUAUAUUAUUUAUUAUUCUUAUUAUUAUAUAUUUUGUAGCGGUUUACCUUAGCAAGAUAGGAAUAAUGCUCCAAGUUAUGAACUAAAUAAUUAUUUUGGUCAGUCCUCACACUUAGAAAUGACGAACAAUAUUGGGACAUCCUCAAAUUUUCAUGUCUCGCCUACUUUUGAUGCAGAUGACUAUCGCUAUGUCUAACACUUAUUUUUUUUAAAUGAAUUUUUGAUGCAGAUGAUCAUCUUCAAAGUGAUUUUUUUUGGAAGCCAUGAAAAAAAAAAGGAGAGAAGGUGAAGGUGAAAAUGAAAAGGUAACUUUUUAUAAAGCGGAAGAUUUUCUUUCACUUUAUAAAGUGGAAUAAAAAGUUCCACUUUAUAAAGUGGAAGAAAAAGUUCCUUUAUAUAUUAAAAUAAAUGUUAUGACAGUAACGGAAACGUUUAGAAAAUUGGAUAUAGUGGAACUUUUUCUUCCACUAAGCUUAUUUUAGUUACUUACUAAAAUGGUGGCUUAUUUUAGUUACUUUUAUAUUUUUGUGACUUAUUUUUGUUCCCAAUUCUAUUUUAUUCACCUAUUUACUAUGUUUGUUUUUGUUGCUCUUAUAAGGUGCAAAGGCGGACCUAUGGCGAAGGGUAUGGGUGUGAGACACUCGUUAACUUUGGAAAAAUUAUGUAUAUAUCUCUUGAGAUAUAAAUAUAUAUUUUUUCAUUGUUUUUAAAUAUAAAAAUGUGGAUAAAGACAGUUACAUGAUUUUGAAUGAUCUCAUGGUGCAAAGUAGAGUUGAAUACCACAACUCCACCCAGCAAACAUUGCGAUCAAAGUCGUCUUGUUAGUAGAGUAAUAUUUUUAUAAAUACCUUAAAUAUUUCUAUGUUUGAUAAAAUUAUCGCACAAAAUGGUAUUUCGUGACACUUUAACUAAUGUGAUUAGUCAUUCAUGAUGUACUUAUCUAUCUUCAAAUUUUAAGUUCUCCUUUGGUUGAGUUGUAUUAGCAACAUGAUGUACUUGAUAAUAGGAACAACAUGGUGGACUUACUAAUUGGAAAACAUGGAAAUUCUUUUUCCAAAAUAUACAAAAUUGAAUUGUGUAUAAACCUUACUUUUUAGAAAUUCUAUUUUUGUAGAGUAAAGUUGUAGGAUUAUUGUGGACUUACCCUAUGCAAGUGUUCUAUACUACUUCAAGGUGUACACAUUUGUAUUUUACACACACAUGGACUUUCUUCUCCUUAUGCACCAAAUUCUUGAAUUUCUAUUUUGACAAUUUAAAAGAAAAGGACUAUACAUAAUAUUAUGUCAUAUCAUUUAAUAUUUCCUCAAUAGUCAGAUAACCUAUAACUUUAUCGUGAUUUUGAAUUCUAAAAAAGAAAAACUUGAAUUAAUUGAGAAUAUUUUAACAUAUAAUAAAAAUCUGAAUUAAUUGAACAAGUAAAUUUUUUAUAUCAUAUUAUUAUUACCAUAUAAUUAUUUAAAAAAUAUCUUUUAGGUAGGUUGAUUUGGAUAGUGCAUUUCAACUAAUUAUUAAUUGAGUGAAAGUUUGUCUUUUGGUGUAUGAUGUAUAUAUGUAUGUGAUAAAAUAAGUAAAAGAAGUCAACAAAUUUAAAGAGAGUUCUCCACCAAGAGUCUUCAUGAAAUUAAUUUUAUGCCAAAAGAUGGAGUAAUUUUCAAUGGAUAAUAAAUUGAGAAAAAGGACAAAAGAGAACAAACAAAGGUAUUAUUAAACAAAUUAACUUAUUUAAGAAGGCAAAAGGACAGCCAAUGGUCUGGAAAUUACUCAUAUUAUGGUACUAUAGUUAUGUGGUACAAAGGGAUUUCCUUUUGUCCAUGUUAUAUGUUUCUUAGGAUCCCUUUCUCUAUUCAAAUUUAUUUUAUUUUUUUUGUAAAAAAUAAAAAAGUUCAUGGUUAUAUAUGGGCGGAACGACAUGAGAAAUCAUUAUACUUGGUGGUUUUGUUAGUUAGUUAGAUCUGCUUAAUUAUUAUUUUUUCAAAUAAACACUUACAUUCGAUAAAACACUAUUUUAACCUGUUUUUCUUGAAAAUUCUUUUCAAUACUCAAAAAUUCAAGCUAAAUGCACAUUUAAAUAUAAUUCAAUUUUCAAAUAUACUCUUUCAACUUUCACACAGAUGACACUAAUGGGUAGUUGUAGUGAUUUUGUCUUGAGAAAUUCCACCACCAAGAGUUUCCACUUGAGGUCAAUUAUGGAUAGUGGUAGUAAAUUUUAUAUUAUUAUUUUUUUUUCCAAAAAGUCCAAUUGAUGCCAAAAUGGGUAGUUAUGAUUUCAAAAAAGUUUCAUUGAUAGAUACUGACAUUGAAAAACUGACACAAAACAAAAAAGAGAGUCAGUUAAUUAGAUGGCAAGACAACACCAAGUAGUAUUUUAGGUGACUAAUGGCAAGACAACACCAAUUAGUAUUUUAGGUCACUAAUCGGUUCGGGCAGAGCUAGAAUUUUUAAUUUAAAAUUUUUAAAUUAUUUACCUUCUUUUUAUUGGAGUUUUUAAUAUUAUAUUUAUACAUAUCAAAUAAGUUUUUAUACGAGAUAAAUAUAAAAUUUAAAUUAAUUAUUAAAUUGUAUGGUGUAAAGCCAACCCCACCCUUGUGGUGCUAAGUGUUCUAAAAAUUUUAAUGUUCCUUAUGAGUUAGAUGUGGCCAAUGUGUUAGUUCUUUGUGGGGAACUUACGUUUUAUAUUUGGACAAAAACCAGGGUGUUCCAGCCUUUUUGUCUAUGACAGAAUGGUAGCGAUUUUUAUCAUUCGAUGUUUGGUAUCUACAUUGGAGCUUGAUUAAAUAUAAAUUUGUAUAUGAAAGUUUCACAUUGUUAGAUAAACGCUCCCUAGAAAAGGUGUUUUUCUAUCAAGAAAGUUCGAAUCCAAAACCUUUUGAUUAAGAAUGAAAAAAUACUUACUACUUUAUCACAACCUUUAUUGGUAAUGAUAUGGAUUUUUGGUUGUGAGAAAAUAGGACGAACAUUUUGAUGUACCAUCGAACUUUCAUUAUGUUCCGGCUUGAAGAAGGGUCAAAUUAUAUGAGUCUAUUAAAUUAUACUGAAUUCAAGAUAUUAAUUAACAUAAUAUAAAUUAUUUAUUUUUAUUUAUAAUAUUAAGUUGUUAAUUAAUUAUAAAUAUGGCAACUUCACAAAUGCAUAGUCAUACAUGUUUCUAUAUCUAGUUUUAUUUAUUUAUUUAUUUAGGGCUCGUUUGAUCAUAAUAUUAAAUCAUGAGAUGAAAUUAGAGUUUUGUUUGGACAUGCGAUAUGGAAUUUUGGUGUUAUAUAUUUUCUCAUAACAUAAAAAUCUCACAAGUUCUAGAACAAUUAAAAUAGCCCCAAUUGUUUAUUCAAUAUUAUCAAAUAAAUAAAAAAUAAUAAAAUCGUAUAAUAAAUUAUUACAAAGUUAUUUGUUCUCGACUUAAGUAAAGUAAAAAUGAAACACUUUUCACGGGCUCUUCAAAAUUUUAUUACUCAACAAUCGUGAAGUGUGAGUUAAAAUGACUAUAUGUUGAUCACGAGAAUAAUAAAUUUAAAAAAAUAAUGAUGUGAUUACAAACUUACCUGUGAAAUAAAUGGUUAGUGAUAUAAAUGUGGGUUGUUUUAACAAAAUAUGAACUUGUAGAUCAAUUUUUUUAUUAAAAUAACUCAAAUCAUGAUAUGGUAUUCCCAUAUGAUUCCAUAUCAUGGUUUUUAGAGAAUAUGGUAUCAAAUCUCAUGAUAUGGAAUCAUGAGAUGAUAUCAGGGUAAAAUCGCAUGUCCAAACGCUGAUUUCAUCUCAUGAUACUAUAUCGUGAUAUGAUAUCACAUUACCAAACGCCUACUUAGUGUGCUAAUUUUGUAGAAGUCAUAAUUAAUUUUAUUUACUUUUUAAAAUUCCAAUCACAAUAAUAUUAUUUUCUCUUUUUUAUUUCCCUUUUUUUUUAAAAAGAGGCCAUUUAAUUGAUUUUCAUCAAUUUUAAGGUAGAGGAAGAUAUUCAUAUUGCCUCAAUAGAUCACACUUUUUAUAUUUUGAGAAUCAAAUAAUUUAACUUCGAUUAGAAAUUUGCGUAUGAAAUUUUUAAUUUUUUUGAAAUAAAAUUUAUAUGUUCAUAAACUAUGUAAAAAGUACUAUGAGCCACAAUAAUUGAUAUUUCAAAAUAUUUUAAAAGAUCUAUGAAAAUUUAUAAUUAAAACUAAACUUGUUUAAUUUUUGAAAUCUAAAAGAUGACAUAUAAAAUGGGACGAUAAUACCAUAUUUUCUCGGUAAUACCCUUUGGUUUGCUUGUUUUCAUUCUUCUUUUUCAAAUUUCAAUGAGAAAAAGGUUAUACUUCUGUAUUUGUUAAGAAUACGGUAUAUAUAGGAAAAAUGUUUUUGGCCAGAAAGAUAUUUAUCUAUAAUAUUUUAUUCUUUUGAAUAAUUUUAUAUUUUUAAUUUUUAUAUCUUUUAAUUAAAAAAUGGAAAAAUAUCAGUUAUUUUUAAAAAUUUAUAAAAAAGAAUUAUAAUUUUUUUAAUUUUCUAAUCUGAUCAAAUUUUCUGAUCAUUUAACGCUUUUCAAAAAAUAUUUAUAGAAUAAAUAUUAGUGUAUCAUAUGCAUUAACAUUAGGAUGAUAUAUAUGGUCUUAUUUAAACCACAACGAAUAUCUUCUACUAUACAACAACACAAUUCAAUAAUAACGAAUUUUUAAUAAUGGUAAAAAUGACACUAUUCACGAAUAAUAUUGGAAAAGUUAUUUAUUAAAAAUAUUUGAAAAGAGCAUUCAAUAACAAUGUGGGCGGUUGCGUUGAAUUUCAAUCUUAGAAAUCUAUACACACUCCUAUGACAUUGUUCUAUAAAUAUAUAGACACGAAUGAACUUACAACAAUGCAUAAUACCAUGAUAUAAAUACGGGCUAGCCCACUUUAUCGGGGCUAAUUUAUACAGGUUUUAAUAUUUUACGGGUCAGAUCAGAUUAGUUUAUUUUUUAUGUGGGUGAGAAAACGAUCGGUCCAACCGACAAGUACGUGGGUCACAAGCUUGUCGAGUCAGUUCAUUUUUUUUAAAAUUAUAUUCUUUUUAAUUAUUAAAUUAAAUUAUAAUUUAUAAUUUUAAAAUAUUAUCAUAAAUAUCGACAAAAUAUUAUUACGUGAGGUUAAUGUUACUACUUGUUAACCAAGUUCACAAAUAAAAUUAUCUUUAUAAUAUUUAUUAAUUUUUUCAAGUAAAAGUAUAAAUAUUUAAAUAAAAAUAUUAACUUAAUUGUUUGAGUUUAGAUUCUCUUUAAUUUUAAAUUUUAAUAUUAUAUCAUAUUUUUUAAUUAAUUUUUAUUGACUCACGAACCGACCCUAUCGAUAUUUUUCAAUCCCCAUAAAUCAACAAAUUUAUUCAGAUUGAACUAAAAAGCUUUUUUCUUAAAUUGACUCAAAAAAUCUCAGUCUACUCCAAUUAAAUUAUGGUGAGAGUGUGGUGUACACUUCAAAUAUGAUAUAUAAUGCAUGACAUAUACCAUAAUUUACACCACAAGCUAACCAAGAUAUAUCAGUUUAUUUGUUUGUUUAAAUAAUUUAAUUACACCAUGUGCAUAUGAUGAUUUAACAUUGUUAUCCUAAAGAAUAAUAAAUUAAUAAAUGACCAAUACAAAUAGUCAACUAAAUGCAUUACAGCAGCAUACAAUUAAUUUAUAUAUCAUUUUUUAAAAUUAAUUAUGUUCUGCAUGAAUAAUGUACAUUAGGGCGAAAAUAUAGUGUACGGUUCAAUCCGAUGCAAAAUAGAUUAUUUAAACCAACACUUACGCCAUGAAAUAACCAAGAAUUUACCAAAUUUACAGGUAUAAUCAAGUUGAUUUAUACAAUUCAAUUUAUAUUUGGUGAUAAUUUUGAUUUUGGUUAUAUGUGCAACUCUACCAUGUAUAAUAUCAUAAUCUACAACCAUAUUGAAUUUUCCGUUUUAACAAUUAUACAAAUAACAUUACUGUUAGAAUUCUACGUAGAAUAUGUGUGUCUAAUUAUUUAACUUUAUACAAAUAUUUAUUUAUUCACAGGCAAAAUUGAAAAGCAUAAAUAUAAACUGCGAUCAAAUUAAAGGAUCCAUUUAUGUAUUAAGUCAUCAUAGAAAGAGAGGAAAACAACCAUGUUCAAAGUGGUACAUAUGUGAACAAGAGGUUGAGGCAAUACAUCAAUUGGUUGUAGUACGAGUGUAUGUGAUCGGGUUGGUUCAGAUUUUUUUAAUGUAAAUUAAAUUAUUGUCUAAUUUUUAAAUUAAUAAACCAAACCAAACAGAAUCCGGUAUUUCAACUUCGGAUUUUUUCGGGUUUCUUCGGGGUUUUGUUUUUUUUCCGAAUUUUUGGAUUUUUUUAUAAAGUUUUCAUACAAACAUAUAAUUUACUUGUACUUCAAAUAUUUCUUUAGUCCUACCAAACUGUAACUAUCUAAGUUAUUUCUCAAGAAAACAACAAAAAAUAUAAUAUGAUUAAUGACACUAAUCCAACAAAAAAAAAUCGAGUAAAAAAAUCGUACAAAUUAAUAAGUCAUAAUGAAAUUGAUCAUUAUUUAAAAUACUAAAUCAUGCUAAAAUAAAUUUAGUAAGUAUUAGUUACAAAGACUAAAUAUUAAAAGAAAGUAAAAGUAGAUCAUGUAUUUUAAUUGUCCAAAUCUAUGAAAACUAAAAAAUAAAUAUUCAAUAUUAUUGUCAUUAUUAGUGUUAAAUUGAUUUCCUUUUUGCAUUAGUAUUAAUUUGGUUUUUAUUUAAACUUUAUAUAAUUACCAACAUGUAUGAACUAUAAUCUUUAUUAUAUCAUUAAGAAAUCUAACUUCCAAACAUGAAAUAAAUAUAUUUAAAGAUAAAAACUAUAAAAAGGUAUAAGAGAUUUUUAAAAAUUAUAUCAAAAUAAGUAUUUUAACAUAUAAAAUAAAAAUUUAAAAUUAUAUAUAUAAUGUCGGGUUGGUUUGAUUUCGGGUUGAUUUUUUUCAGUUGAAACCAAACCAACCCAAAUAUAGUCCUUUUUUUUUCAAAACCAAACCAAAUCACUAGUCAAUUUUUUUUUCGAUUUACGAUUUGGUUCGAUUUUGUACAAGUUGUAGAUAGCAAAAUUACAAGGCAGCUAUGAGAUCAAUUCAUCAAUCUCAGACUCAAAAGGUGUAUGCAAUAUUUCGAGAUGAUGGAUAAAUUAUUACAUAAAAAUCGAUCUAAGAUAUUAAUUUGAUCGAUUCGAAUAUAUAUAUAUAUAUAUAUAUAUAUAUAUAUAUAUAUAUAUAUAUAUAUAUAUUAGAAAAACGAAAUAAUAUAUAGUAGUGUUAAAAAUGGAUGAUGAUCGGGUUCACCUCUUUCCGUGAGGUUAGAAAUUCAAAUUUUGUAUAUAUAUAUAUACAAAAUUUUAGAAAAAAGAAACAAGAUUAAUACAAAAUUUGAAUUUCUAACACUACUAUAUAUUAUCUCGGUAGAGGAGCAUAGGUUCAUGUGAACCCAGUGACCCCCCCCCCCCCCCCAACCAUACGCAUCAGAGGUUCUAGCUGAACAAUGCCAAAAAGAACCUUUGGAGUUAUUGCAUGCUGGAACAAAGAUGUAAACUGCAAGACUAGCAAAGAUGAUCCUGAGGAAUCAUAGAUGUACUAGGUACCUUGUAAGAUGAUUAAGGCUUUAGGUUUUGUAGUUUACUUGCCUCUUUCGUUUUUGAUCCUCUUGUGCCCCAUCACAUUUUUUUGGGGGGUGGAUGUUGAUAGAUACACAAGAAUAUGGUACCUUCUAAAAAAAAAAUCUGACUUUGAAUGAUUAAGACUCAGACUUUUGUCUUAACAAUUAAACAAAUGAGACCUUAGUUUAUUCGAAUACUUAUGCCAGUACAGGUAUAUAUAUGAAAAUCAAAGAAACUACUUUGAGCAAUGGCAAGAAAUUAUUCUUUCAUCAUACUGAUUGGUUCAAUUGACAAUCUCUAUUCCUGUAAAAGGUUUUCCAGCAUGGAGUUGAAGAGCAACGUCUCCAACAACCUGUAAUUUAACAAUUACUCUCAUAUUACAAGUUCCAUUUCAACAUGUACAAGAAAUAAUAAACUAGCCUGAAUUGAGCAAACUGACCUUGGCCAUGUCUCUAUAAGACAAUUCUGUCACACCAGCAACAUGGGGUGUGAUUAUAACAUCUGGAAAUCUGAGGAUAGCAUCAUCGGGAUCAAAUGGUUCAGUCCAAGCAACAUCAAUUCCUAAACCUCCUAAAUGUCCCGAUUUGAGAUGACUUAAAACAGCAUCAUAAUCCAACAGACCACCUCGAGCUAUAUUAAUCAGAAUGGCACCCUGCAGCAAACAAGAGCACGCAAACUUUCAUGAGAUAUGAAAAGCCCAUCUUCAACCCACCUAUUAUAACCCUGGUAAAGUUCGGAAAGUUAGUCAACCCGCCUAUUUAUUUAUUGAACACAUUUGAACCUACAUAGCCCAUUUGACACCCUUUAUAUUCUCCACUGAUUUCCCCCAUGGAGGAAUAGAAUUUAACACGGUCCCAAACUUUCCCCUGAACCCCCUAGUUUCUGGAAGGAGAUUUCCACUUGAAGACAAACCUUUCUCAUGACAGAUAUAAAAUCGUUGUUCACGAUGCCAAUCUGCAAGUCAGCAGCAUAUUUUUAGGUAUAGGCUUGGCAAAAUACAUAGAUCAUCAGAAAGCACGAGAUGUCCUGACCAGGCAGAAAGAAAGAGCAGUCUUACAGUUUCAUUGUUCAUAGCUAAGCAACAUACAACAAUAUCAGCUUUGCUUGCAAACUUCAAGAUAUCAGCAUGGUUUCCCCUCUCGUCAACUAGGUCAGCGUAGCCACCAUUCUCAACAGACGGUGCUGGAAAGAUAGAUACGCGAUUCCUAUCAAUAUUUAGAAAUGAAUGAAUUUUACAAGGUUUUCUUACCCUCGGAUUUGCUCGAGUCCUGUGCAGGCCGGCCCCAACUUCGUUUUGUAGCAAGUAUUUUCACGUCAAAUGGGCGUAAACGCUUUGCUAAAUGUAUCCCGAUAUUUCCAAACCCCAGGAUAAAUACCUAUAUGAUAAUGCAGAAAUUUUCUAAGACAUAAUAAAAGUGCAAUUCUUACACAAGUUUGAUGGUCUGUAAAUUUGUCCAGACCUAGUCAUCAACAAUAUCCAAGCACGUCACAAUGCCAUUAAAUUCUUUUCAAUUGUGAUAUCUAUUAGAAUCAUUCCACUUGAUAUUAGCAAACUUGAAUGUGCAUUGUGCAUUUAGUCCAUUAAAAGAAUGAAGGUGAAGUUGGAAUUAGAUAGAUUAGUGGUACAUUUGCAAGCAAUUCAGAUAUAAGUCCACUCUUCCUGAGAAAAUGACAUGAUAAAUGAAGAAGUAACCCAUAAAAUCAAUAUAUGAUGAUCAAAAUGGAGGCAUAUUACAAGAGUGACAUGUAAAAGGAAGAUACCUAACAACGCACAAUGCAAGUUCUAUAUAUAGAAUGGUUGGAUGGUAUGCAGGAAUGAAUGUUGACCCUUUAAAGCCCAACAUAUCUAAGAUGUAUUCAUACCAUAGAUGUAUUCAUAAGACCUUUAAAGCCCAACAUAUCUGAAUGUUGAGACCUUUAAAGCCCAACAUAUCUAUAAGAUGUAUUCAUAAGAGGAGAUUUCAAUGGACACAUCAUAUCAACCCCGAGGGGCUAUGACGGUGUGCAUGGAAGUGUUGGUUUCAGGGACAAGAAUGAAGGAGGAGUCUCGUUUUUGGAUUUCAGCAAGAGCGCUUGGGUUAGAGGUAGUCAAUUUGAGUUUCUCAAAGGAGAAACACUUGGUAACUUUUCAUAGAACGGUGCUAAGACUCAGAUAAACUAUUUGCACCUUAGGAAGGAUGAUGAAGGUCUUUGUAAAGACUGUAGGAUUGUUCUAAGUGAGAAUCUUACAACCCAACAUAAGCUCUUGAAGAUGGAUUUGGAGAUCAAGAGGCAGGAAGAAGAGGGUUGUGGGUGACCAACCUAGGAUCAAAUGGGGUAGCUUGACUAUGGUCAGUGCCCAAGAGAUGGAGAAGUUGAUUGCUACAGAGGCUUAGGGGAGUAGUGGGGAUGCGAACAGUAUGUGGGAUAGGAGUGUUAGUUGCAUUAGGGAGGCAGCUAGAGAGGCGUUCGGGGUUCAAGAAACAGAUUUAGGUGGGCACUGAAGGAAAAAGUGAUGGAAUGAAGAAGUCAAGAAAAGGUGAAGACAAAAAUGUUCAGUGCAUCAAGCAGGGGCGGAGCUACAUGGAGCCCAGUAGCAGCCUAAUAGACACUUGUACUAGCACCGAUUUUUCAUCCCGGCCCCUCAACUCCACAAAGUUUCAUCCAAAUACAUGAACAUUCCAAACCCCUUUGACCUUACAUGUCUCUUAAUUUCCCUACCAGUGUUGUAAAAGCCAUGCUUAAGCCUUAAAGUGAGGCUCAAAACGUGUUAAGCGCUCUGUCUCACUUAAUGUCAGAUUAUAUAUUUGUACAUAUUUUUUCCCUUUGUGCCUUUUUCAUUAAAGCCCAUCUCCUUUUUCUCCAACACUACUCUGCAAAAAAUAGUCAAAAACCAUUUUCUCUCCCUCAAUUUCUGAGCAGAGACAUUGCUCCUCCCCCUCCACUACUCUCAUUUUUUUCUCUUUUGGAUAAGGAAAAACAAAUUUCCUACUCUCAUUUCUUUCUCUUCCACUCAUCUCUAUCGUAGAACACUGCCCAUCUCUACCGAUAAAGUUCUGUUAAUAAAUAAAACAACUAUUAUCUUUUUCACCAAGCACCCAAUUUGUAGAUACUUGUAUCCUAAAAAAGGAUAUGAUACCCCUAUGCAAUAAAAUGCAAAAUAGAAGAAAAGAAACGGCUACCAUAUAGGUACUUGCUCCUAGGAGUAUCCUGGAUAUUUUGUACCAGCACUGCAGCAAUUAAUCUAAGCAAUUUAAAUUAGCAUCCCCACUUCAUAAUAUUACACAAAAUGCAUACCAUUUACCUUAACAAUUAAGGUAAUUUAUUGUCAAGUAAACAUGUUUGAUGAAGCAUUUGUAGCUCAGCUAACAAAUUAGUUGAUCCUAACUACUGUAUCUUUUCCUAUUUAAUUUUAAAGCUCUAAGCACUUGAUAUUUUGCAACAAUAUAAUAAAAACCAACCAGUGGUGAAAUGAAAAAGGGAAAGAAGAUACAUCUUAGCAUUCCAAAAUGAGAUAACAGAUAAAUAGGAGGAAAUAAAAGUGAAACUCACCGUUUUCCCUUGCAGGUUGACACCAGUUGGCUCCCCUAGCUUUUUCUGCUCCACGGAAAUUUUCAUUUGAUGCUGCAACAUUUGGGGGAUGCCAAGUUAAAAAGGAAAACAACAUAGCUUACAUGAGAACAAAAAAUACUCUUAGUACACCUAUAUAUUUAGCUAUCUGCAUAUACUUUCACUUCUAGAACCACAAAGAUAGAGUAGCAACGGGACUGCCAGCAAUAGAAUUAAGCACUCAACACCCCUCUUUGUUUGACCACUCAGUCCAAAACACUCUAGAUUUCGUUGAUUCUAGGCUCUCAUGUCCACUCGAGUGAAGUCAUUCACAUUAGAAAUAUAAACAAGUUUCAAGCAGAUAAGUACUAAAACAGACUGCAAAACCAGAUGCAUUAAUUAUUCUUACAAAAUAGUGAUAUAUAUAUAUCCCAAAUCUAUCAACUUAUGAAGAAAGGAAGUACAAUAUGUUUGUCGUGUUAUCCUCUAAGAGUUCAGAAGAAAUAAAGCCAUGAAUUAUAAGAUUAGAGUCAAACCAACUUGCUUACGCAGGAGGCCCAAAAUGAGAUAUAUGGCCAUUUCAGCACAUGAAGCAGCAUUUCCAGUUGCACCACCCGGAAUUUUGGCGACCUUAAUUCCAUGCUUUGUGGCAGCAGUAAUGUCAACACCUUUAUACAACAACAUUAUAAAGUAUUUAGGCAAUUGGAAACUUUAAAACGACUGAUUAGCAAUGAAUCCAGCUACCAAAGAAAUAAUAUCAAGAUAAAGGAGAACAAAAAAACCAAAGGCCUAAGGCAAGUAGAGAAACUGAAAACAAAAUCAAUUUGACCUUCUAACCCAACUCCAAAUUGCAUUAUGAGCUUCAUCCUCUUUGCACGGGAGAGAACAUCAGAGUUCAUACGGAAGCUUUUAACCACACAAAUAUCAUAGUCACCAAUCACAGCAGGCACACUUUCGAGUGGAACAUCAUCAACCUACAACGGAGGCAUAUAUCAUCAUUCAAGAUUCGAUUAUCACUUGUAUUAGGACCCUUUUCAGAAGAUAGUGCAAGAAGGUACUGACAGAUACCACUCAAAAAAUUGAAUAGCAGAAUUAAAGAGUUUUAGCCUUUUCUAUGAGUUAAUUUUUAGCUGUACGUUAGGAAAUAACUGUGAAUAAAAUAUUGAAAUGGUAAAGAAGAUUAAGAAGUUAGAUUUAAAAAGUGCAAGUUUACAAUUAGGUAGCAUGUUUACCAUGCAAACAGUGUGCACGAGUAUAAUUAGCAGCUCUUAGUAUACUCGGUAAAGUAACAAACAGACUUCUAGACAAUUGGUUUCUCUGUUUAUGAUUUUGCUUUUAUUUUAUUUGAUAACUCAGUAGUAGUUUUAUCAGUUCAGCCUGUAGAUGUAUUAUAUUAGUAUAUACAGCCGUUACUCUAUUUGAUUUAGUGUACGUACAGUCAUUUACUAAUCAUCCCAAAAAUGAAGCCUAUAAUCUAACAAACUGACAUAUGCUUGUCACCUAAGAAAUACAAAUGAAAUAAAAAGGAAUAUUCAACCUUGAACAAACGAAUUUCAAUUCUUCCUAAGAUUCUACGAUCAUCUCUCUCCAAACUGUCCAAAUAUUAUACAGGUGAUUUGUCUAUCAUAUGUAAAUUUCAUAGCCUCCAUGCUUGGAAAAAGUCUUGUUUCUUGACCCUUUGUAUUUCCCAUUUGUCCUGUGUAGGCACUUCAAGUGAAAAACAAGGCGAUUUUUGUUUUCCCUUGAAAUGAUGGUAUAUAACAACUUCUGUUGUGACUCAAGUUUCCUUUAAUUGAUGUCAAAUGUUUCCACUCAUAUCAAAUUAAUUGUCUGCAUCUUCAACGAGUUGUAUGGAAAGAGAAUUUACUUUUUCAUUAUAGAGGAAACUCUUAAUGCAAAUUAUAACACAAAACAAUACUUCUUUUUUUAUCAGGUAAACACAAAACAAUACAUGGACCUCAGUUCUACUCUUCUUCACCAAUUUUUCGUUUUGUAUUCAGAUAUUAACAAGAUAAAGGCGGUAUACAUUUUACAUAGGCAGUACUAGAGAAUACACAUUUUUCAACUCUGUUUUUGAAUGAUAUGAAGUCAAAUAAAUAAAAUCAUCUUUGACAAGAGAAUGCAAUAACUACCCCAAAAUAAGAGCUCACUUUUCAUGUACUGUGAUUUUGCAUAUCACUUCAAACGUCUACCUCGCUCCAGAUAGCAAUAUCAAAAUUUCUUCAGAAAUCGAAAAAAAAAAACUAGGCAAACCAAAAAAGUCAGAAACCAUGUAGAAGCUUCAAUUAUGCAAUUAUUUUUAAAUCAUUCAUCAAGAUCCUCUGUUGCUUUAUGAACUUCAUCACUAUUAAAACAAGUUUAUAAAUCAACCUUCCUUUAUUUAUUUCCCUAUGGAUGCCUGAAGAACAUAUAUGGUUGAACAACUUUGAAAUGGAGCCAAAAUUAAGUCUCGUGCAAUGAAGAAAUACAGCCCUUCCUAUCUGAUAAAAAAGGAUCCCAUGAUCUUGAACCGAUCUUACCUCAGAUCACAAAUCCAAGACCGUCUAUGAAGAGCGGAUCUAAUUGAAUUAGUGUCUAUAAUCGAUUUCUUCUAUGUAAUACUAAUCGAUAGUAACUCAUUCGCAAGUGCUACAAGAACUCAUGCACUGGUCCCCGAAUCCGUUAGUAUGGAACAUAUUCUUUUCCAUGUGAAAUCCCCUAGUAUAUGAAAGCGCCAAAAAGCUCUUUCGUUUUGGUGGAAUAAGAAACAGUAAAAGAAAGAAAAUGACACCUGAACAAAUGGAUAGCCUUGCAAAUAUUCUCUUGUAUAAUUGUGAGAAUCAGGAAAAUGAGGCCCACAAAAAAGAACACGGGUAACAUGAUUGCACCUAUUAUCACUCAUCUUCUGAGAUGAGUUUGCACCUAAAUGAACAAGAAAAUGCAAAUAUAGACAUCAGCAUAUACCCUUAUUACACCUGACAGUGAGUAAUAUACAUAUUGUUAGAGAAAACACAUUAUCAUCAUGACCACAUAUUGUAAAAAUCCACCUCUCCCAGCACUAGGUGGGAUGUGGACAAAGAGGAGAGGGUAAAAUUCCCUUCAAAUCAUGUAAUGGUAUAUGAGCAGGGGCCGAACCAUGUUGAGCGAGGCGUGUCACUAGACACCGCUUUGACAGAAAAUUUUAUAUGCAUUAACAUUAGAUAUAAAUUGAUAUAUUUAAUGAAAUGACUCUGCUUGACAAUGGAUGUCUCUUCGAGUUCGAACCUCAACCUAAGCAGAGCUGGAGCCAGUAUUAGGAGUUUGAGAGUUUUAAAUUUCCUUCCCCUUCCAUACUAUUCAGCUAUCAACCAAUUUCGACAGAGGUUCACAAGUUAUUACUUAAUUUUCUCAUACAAAUAUAAGGUCUACGAAAGAACUUCUGGAUUCGUCCUAAUCCAUGAACCUCUACCGAGCUCCGCCCCUGAACCUAAGCAUAGUUUGGGGAAAUAUAAAAUCUAUUGCUUAAAAUUAUGGUUAAGUAACAUUGAACCUUAGAUAUCUUCUAGCUUAACACCAAACUAAACCAAUGAGUCAACUAUAUGUCUUACUUGUAUAUAUAAUAAUAUGAUAUUGAAUCUGAAUCAACUAAACAUAUGAGAACAAUUGAACAUACAAUAAAUUAAAGAAAAAUUGUGAAUUUGUGGAUUACCAGCUUGAGCCAAGGAACAAAACCAAUGGCGUUGAUGUUGGCGGUGAAGAAAAGUUUUCUCCACAACGUUGCAAGUGAUGAGCGUUUUUGCGUUAGAAAUCCAAGUUCUGCAGAGAAGUAAUGCAGAGUUGGUCUUACUGUACAUCUAUGGUGUGAGGAAAUUAGAGUUACCUUAGGUUUUGUUAGACUAUGAUUUGAAAAAUGCAAUUAGGAUGGAACUGAUGCCUAAACUUUGUAAAUGACAAAAGACUAUAAAAGUGGUGUUUAUUAUCCAAGUGUAUUAUAUUCAUUAUUCAAUGUAGGUAGUUGUAAUCAUAGGUUAUGUUAGACUAAAAUUUGAAAAAUGCAAUUAGGAUGGGACUUAGGCCUAAACUUGCAAUUAGAAUGGGACUUAUGCCUAAAUUUUGGUAAAGGACAAAACAGGUGUUUAUUAUCCAAGUGUAUUAUAUUCAAUGUAGGUAGCUAUAUUCAUAUGAAUAUUCUAUAAUGUCACGUCCCAAAACGAGCCGUGAGUGGCACCCAUACUUACCCUCCUAUGUGAGCGAACCAACCAAUCUAACCCCUACAUUUCAGCCAUAAUAAACAGAAUAAAAAUGCGGAAGACUUAAAACUCAUUAACGAAAUCAAUUAAAUAACUUCUAAAAUUUAUCAAUUACUAUCCCCAAAACCUGGAAGUCAUCAUCACAAGAACAUCUAUUCUUAAAUUACUAAAUCUAAGAAUGUCUAGGAAGCUAAAACAAAUACAAGAGAUAGUCCAUAUCCGAACUUCAAGGACAUCAAGACAUGAAUGAGAGAGAAUCCAGUCCGAGCUAGGAACAAUAGCUCACCCUGAAAUCUGACGUGGUGAAGACUGGCUAGAGUUGCGGUUGAGUUGAAGACGACGGUACGUUUGCUGUACUCCACAAAUAACAAAGAGAAAAACAUACAAGUAGGGGUUAGUACAAGCACAUGUACUGAGUAGAUAUCAUCAGUCAACUCAAAAUAGAAAGCAAUAUAUAUCAAAUAAUAUCAUAAAAUCAACUACAAUACUUAACAGGUGGCAACAACAAGUACAAGAACCAUUGGCAACAACCCAAGCGCAUCUAUGAGGACUUACGCCUCCACACCCUACUCAUUUGGGAAAAGGUUCUUUAAGUUUUGAGUAUAUUAAGAUAAUUCAAGAUUCAUUCUCUUUAUUCCUCUUGUGUCGGAACGUGACACCCGAUCCCCUAAUACUAUGUGUCGGUUCGUGACACCCGAUCCAUUAACCUCAUUCGUUUAGUUUCAUCAAGCCUUCUUUUAUACCAAGGCAUCAUCAUUAAUAGAGAGGUUUUAAGGUUUAAGAUUCAACAGUCUCAUCAUGCUAAUUCAUCACAAUUACAUAUCACAUCAUGCAAACACACAAUUAAGCAUAUAGAAGACUUUACAAAAUUACUCAAUACAUAUCAUUCGCUAUUAAGAGUUUUACUACGAAAUAGCAUAAACCAUAACCUACCUCCACCGAAGAAUUCGCGAUCAAGCAAGCUAUCCCCCAAAACCUUUGCUUUCGUCUUCGUUUCUCUCUUCUCUCGAUCGUUCUCCCUCUCUUUCUCUUUCUGAUUUUUCCUUAUUCAAACCCUUUUUCUUUUACCCUAAUUACCAUAUAAUUAAGUAUAAAAGAUGGUAAAAAUAAUCCACUAUUUAUUCCAAGGUUGUCUCCUUUAACCCCCAAGUAAUUGAAUUAUUAACAUUAACCCACUAACUUUAUAAUUAUAAGCAGGAAUAGUCCAAAACGCCCCUUAAAACUUUUAACAGAAAUCCGACUCAGUCAGGGUUACGCAGCCUGUGACGGCCCGUCGUGCCUGCGACGGUCCGUCCUGCUGCUUCUGUCACAAAGUUCAGAGACUAAAUUUCUCUAAAGGGUCUGUGACGGUCCGUCGUGUCCACGACGGUCCGUCCUGCCAUGUCGUCGCGAAGUUCAGAGAGUUGUUCUCAGUAUCCAAAUUUUCAGAAUCUAAGUGUUUUGGAACGAGACCCCCUCGACGGUCCGUCGUGCCCAUGACGGUCCGUCGUGGGAUCCGUCGACCUAGACAGUUAUUACCAAAAUAAAUUCUACUGCUCAAAACGACUAACAGGUCGUUACAAUAGAUACCAAUUUACCCAUCGUUCAUCCUCAAACGAUCACAAGAAGAAAAACAAAGGCGAAAAGGAGUACCUGAAUCUGUAAACAGGUGUGGGUAUUUUUCUUCCAUAUCAGCCUCCUUCUCCCAAGUGGACUCUUCAACUGACCGAUUCUUCCAUUGAACUUUGACAGAUGCAAUCUCCCUUGACCUCAACUUGUGGACUUCCCUAUCUAAGAUAGCAACAGGCUCCUCCUCAUAAGACAAAUUCUCAUCAAGAAGAACUGAACCCCAACGAAUGAUGUAUUUUCCAUCCCCAUGGUAUCUUUUCAACAUAGACACAUGAAAUACCGGGUGCACUCCUGACAGUCCUGGGGGCAAGGCUAAUUCAUAAGCUACCUCCCCCACGCGCUUCAGAAUUUCAAAUGGACCAAUAUACCUCGGACUAAGCUUACCUCGCUUACCAAACCGCAUCACCCCUUUCAUGGGUGAAACCUUCAGUAAGACUUGUUCACCCUCCAUAAACUCCAAGUCUCUAACCUUUCGAUCUGCACAUUCUUUCUAUUUACUUUGAGCUGCUAAAAGCUUUUCUUGAAUGCAUUUCACUUUAUCUAACGAUUCCCUCAGAAGGUCAGUACCCCAAGGUCUAACUUCAAAUGCAUCAAACCACCCAAUGGGAGACCUACACCUUCUCCCAUACAGUGCCUCAAAUGGGGCCAUAUCAAUACUUGAGUGAUAGCUAUUGUUGUAUGAGAAUUCUGCUAAGGAUAAGAAGUUAUCCCAAUGACCACCAAAUUCUAUCACAAAUGCACGAAGCAUAUCCUCUAAAACUUGAAUCGUUCGCUCAGAUAGACCAUCAGUCUGAGGGUGAAAUGCAGUACUAAGAUCCAACCUAGUACCUAACUCAGCAUGCAAUGUUUUCCAAAACUUAGAAGUAAACUGCGUACCUCUAUGUGAUAUGAUGGAAAGUGGAACUCCAUGCAAUCGAACAAUUUCUGAGAUGUAAAGUUUGGCCAACUUCUAUGCAUUGUAAGUCACCUUAACCGGAAUGAAGUGAGCAGACUUAGUUAACCUAUCAACAAUUACCCAAAUGGAGUCACACUUACCCAUUGUCUUUGGAAGACCAACCACGAAGUCCAUUGCAAUUCUCUCCCACUUCCAUUCAGGAAUGGGCAUUCUCUGGAGUGUCCCUCCAGGCCUCUGGUGUUCAUACUUUACCUGCUGACAAUUCGGGCAUUGAGCAACGAAAUCAAAAAUGUCCCUCUUCAUCCUAUUCCACCAAAAAUGUUGCUUUAGGUCACGGUACAUCUUGGUUGCACCAGGAUGUAUAGAAUACCUUGAACUAUGAGCCUCUAUAAGAAUAGUGUGAAUCAAAUCAUCGACGUUGGGUACACAUACUCUUCCCUUAGUCCUCAAAACACCUUCCUCAUCGAUUUUUGCUUCUUUAUCCUCUCCUCGCAAUACCUUAUCUCGAAUCUGGAUCAGUUUCUCAUCAGCAAACUGCUUUCCCUUAAUCUUAUCAAGAAAGGAAGAUCUUGCCUCGACACAGGCCAAAAAUCCUCCCUUGUCAUUUACUUCUAGCCUCAUGAGGUCAUUAGCCAGAGUCUGAACCUCUCUAGACAAUGGGCGUCUAGAAACCUGCAAGUGGGCUAGACUUCCCAUGCUCCCUGCCUUUCUACUUAAGCCAUCUGCCACCACAUUAGCCUUUCCUGGAUGAUACAAGAUAGUGAUAUCAUAGUCCUUCAGUAGUUCCAUCAAUAUCCUCUGUCUCAAAUUCAAAUCUUUCUGAGUAAAGACAUACUGUAAACUACGAUGAUCCGUAUAGACUUCACACUUAACCCCAUAUAGAUAAUGUCUCCAUUGCUUUAAUGCAAACACUGCUGCCGCUAACUCCAAAUCGUUGGUUGGAUAAUUACGUUCAUGCACUUUUAAUUGCCUUGAGGCAUAAGCAAUUACAUUGUUCUCUUGCAUUAGCACUGCACCCAAACCAGAAUAGGAUGCAUCACAGUAAACAAUGAAAUUCUUACCUUUCACUGGCAAGGUAAGAAUUGGUGCAGUAGUCAACAAGGUCUUGAGCUUCUGAAAGCUUUCUUCACACUCGUCCGACCAUACAAAUGGAACACUCUGCUUAGUCAAGUUUUUCAAUUGGGAAGCAAUGGAAGAAAAUCCCUUGACAAAUCGACGGUAGUAGCUAGCUAAACCAACGAAGCUCCUUACCUCUGUAACAUUAGUAGGUCUUACCCAAUUCUUCACUGCUUCAAUCUUGGAAGGAUCCACCAUCACUCCGUCCUUAGAAACUACGUGCCCCAAGAAGGACACUGAAUCUAUCCAAAACUCACACUUAGAGAAUUUGGCAUAAAGUUUUUUUCUCCCUCAACAUUUCCAAUACCAUUCUCAAGUGCUCCUCAUGUUCUUUCUUGCUCUUUGAGUAUACCAGUAUGUCAUCAAUGAAUACAAUGACGAAGAGAUCCAGAUAUGGCUUAAAAAUCCCGUUCAUCAAGCUCAUGAAAGCAGCAGGGGCAUUCGUAAGCCCAAAAGACAUUACUAAGAACUCAUAAUGCCCAUACCUGGUCCGAAAAGCAGUCUUGGGCACAUUCGUUGCCCGUAUUUUUAAUUGAUGAUAACCAGAUCUCAAAUCGAUUUUUGAGAAGGUACAAGUUCCUUGUAACUGAUCGAACAAAUCAUCGAUGCGAGGAAGAGGAUACUUGUUCUUAACAGUUACCUUAUUCAGUUGUCUGUAAUCAAUGCACAUCCGAAAACUUUCAUCCUUCUUCUUCACAAACAGAACAGGAGCACCCCAAGGGGAUGUACUUGGUCUAAUAAAGUCUUUUCUUAACAACUCUUGAAGUUUGGCCUUUAACUCUCUUAACUCAGCGGGAGCCAUCCUAUAAGGGGGUAUGAAAAUGGGACGAGUACCCGGCUCCAGAUCAAUGCAAAAGUCGAUAUCCCUUUCCAGUGGCAUACCAGGAAGUUUUGCAGGAAACACAUCCAGAAACUCACGGACUAUUGAAACCGACUCAAUUGAAGGUACUUGGGUAGUAUCAUCCCUGAGGUGUGCCAAGAAAGCUAAACAACCCUUUCUAACCAUUCUCUUAGCACGAAGGAAGGAGAUGAUACGAACUGGAGUGGAAGUGUAGUCACCCUCCCACACUAACGGAUCUGUCCCAGGCUUGGCCAAUGUCACAGUUUUGGCAUUGCAAUCUAAGAUUGUGAAGUUUGGAGAAAGCCAAGUCAUACCCAGAAUUACAUCGAAAUCAACCAUUUCUAAGAUAACCAAGUCUACAUGAGUAUUGCUCCCCAUAAAAGUCAUAAGACAAGACCUAUACACCUUUUCAACUAUCACAAACUCACCUACCGGAGUAGAAACACGAAUAGGCAUGUCAAGCAAUUCACAAUGUAAAUUAAGACCAGUAGCAAAUGAGGAAGAUACAUAUGAAAAUGUGGAUCCAGGAUCAAAUAAUACAGAAGCCAUUAAAUCACAAACCAAAAGAUUACCUGUGAUAACAGCAUCAGAUGCCUCCGCUUCAGACCUCCAAGGGAAAGCAUAACAAUGGGCCCUAUCACCGGUCUGUCUGUUGCCCCUACCAUGUUGCGGUGUAGUAGUUCCAGCUUGCCCGUCACCCCGGCCGUUUUGAUGACCACCAUUACCUCGGCCACCACGUCCUCUUGAAUAACGACCUCUUCCAUGACCACCUCUACCUCUGAUUAUUGGGGGUCUGUAACUCUGUUUUGGACAAUUUCUCCUAAUAUGUCCAGUCUCUCCACAUCCAUAACAAUCUCUGGAUUCAAGCAUAGGUCUUUGUGAGAACGACGGAGUCUAAGGAUAACCUCCAAACUCAGAGAAAUAUUGACCGGUCUGCAGUGGACCCCCAGCUACAGUCUGUAGUGAAGACUGAAUAGGGCGGGCUGGAUAACCUCCUGAACUCUGCCCUCUAGAGUAAGAACCAUUAAACUCACCUCCUUUACGAAACCUCUUAGAUGUCGAUGCCAUGGUGAAGUCGUCUGGCUUCACUCCCUCCACUUCUAUCACGAAAUCUACCACCUCCUGAAAGGAUUUUGCUGAAGCAGCUACCUGUAAGGCUGAAAUUCGCAAGUCUGACCUCAACCCUUUCACGAAACGGCGAAUCCGCUCUUGUGGACUGAAGCAAAGCUGGGUGGCAUACCUGGAUAGUGCACGAAACUUAGCCUCAUAAGCAGUGACCGACAUCCUGCCUUGCUCUAGGCUCAGGAACUCAUCUCUCCUCCUAUCCCUCAAAGUCCGGGGUAUAUACUUCUCCAUAAACAAGCUAGAGAAUGAUGCCCAAGUCAUAGGUGAUGACUGUGCUGGUUGACACUCGACAUACGAUUGCCACCACAUUUUGGCAUUUCCCUGGAACUGAUAAGUUGCAAACUCAACGCCAAAUCGUUCUACUAUGCCCAUCUUGUGUAGUAGCUCAUGACAAUCAACCAGAAAAUCAUAGGCAUCCUCAGAUUCAGCACCCUUGAAGACUAGAGGUUUCAAUUUCAAGAACUUACUGAAAAGUUCAUACUGAUCACUUGUCAUUAUAGGCCCUGUAGGCAAGCGAGGAAACGUGCCUAUUUCAAAGGAGGCAUCCAUGCAGGGAGCCGCAGCAGCUGCAUGUUGUACUCCCGGAACCUGAGGCGCUGGUGCAGAAAACACUGGAGGUGCCUGGCCCUGAUCAGAUAACCCACUAAGAUAAGCAAGAACCUGGUUAAUCAUCUCUGGGGUAGGUUGGGGUGGUAAUUCCUCAUUCUGUACUUGUUCAUUCUCUCCUUCCUCACCCUCUCUUACUACUUCCUCGGUCGGUGGAGGAGUCACCGCCCUAGUACUAGAUGGGCCAGGUGCUUGUCCUCUUCCUCUAGAGGACGUCCUCCCGCGACCUUUACCACGGCCUCUUGCCACUGCCCCUCUUCGAGCUACAGCCUCAGUGGCUAGUUCAGACGCAUCUUGUCUUGCCGGUGUUGGUGUUGGCGCAAUUGUUGCUCUAGUUCUAACCAUCUGCGAAAUAGAGUGAAGAUGGUCAGAUACCAAUUUGUAUCACCUCGAUACCAAUUGGAUCCAAGUAAUAGCACGAAAGAAAGAAAGAAUGGAAUUUUCCUAAAGUCUUGUAGCCUCUCAAAGAAAAGUAAAGGCGUCCCCUACCGUUCCCCAAGACUCUACUAGACUCGUUCUUGUGUGAUGAGACCAACGAACCUAAUGCUAUGAUACCAAGUUUGUCACGACCCAAAACGAGCCGUGAGUGGCACCCACACUUACCCUCAUAUGUGAGCGAACCAACAAAUCUAACCCCAACAUUUCAGCCAUAAUAAACAGAAUAAAAAUGCGGAAGACUUAAAACUCAUUAAUGAAAUCAAAUAAAUAACUUCUAAAAUUUAUCAAUUACUAUCCCUAAAACCUGGAAGUCAUCAUCACAAGAACAUCUAUUCUCAAAUUACUAAAUCUAAGAAUGUCUAGGAAGCUAAAACAAAUACAAGAGAUAGUCCAUAUCCGAACUUCAAGGACAUCAAGACAUGAAUGAAAGAGAAUCCAGUCCGAGCUAGGAACAAUAGCUCACCCUGAAAUCUGACGUGGUGAAGACUGGCUAGAGUUGCGGUUGAGUUGAAGACGACGGUACGUUUGCUGCACUCCACAAAUAACAAAGAGAAAACAUACAAGUAGGGGUUAGUACAAGCACAUGUACUGAGUAGAUAUCAUCGGCCAACUCAAAAUAGAAAGCAAUAUAUAUCAAAUAAUAUCAUAAAAUCAACUACAAUACUUAACAGGUGGCAACAACAAGUACAAGAACCAUUGGCAACAACCCAAGCGCAUCUAUGAGGACUUACGCCUCCACACCCUACUCAUUUGGGAAAAGGUUCUUUAAGUUUUGAGUAUAUUAAGAUAAUUCAAGAUUCAUUCUCUUUAUUCCUCUUGUGUCGGAACGUGACACCCGAUCCCCUAAUACUAUGUGUCGGUUCGUGACACCCGAUCCAUUAACCUCAUUCGUUUAGUUUCAUCAAGCCUUCUUUUAUACCAAGGCAUCAUCAUUAAUAGAGAGGUUUUAAGGUUUAAGAUUCAACAGUCUCAUCAUGCUAAUUCAUCACAAUUACAUAUCACAUCAUGCAAGCACACAAUUAAGCAUAUAGAAGACUUUACAAAAUUACUCAAUACAUAUCAUUCGCUAUUAAGAGUUUUACUACGAAAUAGCAUAAACCAUAACCUACCUCCACCGAAGAAUUCGCGAUCAAGCAAGCUAUCCCCCAAAACCUUUGCUUUCGUCUUCGUUUCUCUCUUCUCUCGAUCGUUCUCCCUCUCUUUCUCUUUCUGAUUUUUCCUUAUUCAAACCCUUUUUCUUUUACCCUAAUUACCAUAUAAUUAAGUAUAAAAGAUGGUAAAAGUAAUCCACUAUUUAUUCCAAGGUUGUCUCCUUUAACCCCCAAGUAAUUGAAUUAUUAACAUUAACCCACUAACUUUAUAAUUAUAAGCAGGAAUAGUCCAAAACGCCCCUUAAAACUUUUAACAGAAAUCCGACUCAGUCAGGGUUACGCAGCCUGUGACGGCCCGUCGUGCCUGCGACGGUCCGUCCUGCUGCUUCUGUCACAAAGUUCAGAGACUAAAUUUCUCUAAAGGGUCUGUGACGGUCCAUCGUGUCCACGACAGUCCGUCCUGCCAUGUCGUCGCGAAGUUCAGAGAGUUGUUCUCAGUAUCCAAAUUUUCAGAAUCUAAGUGUUUUGGAACGAGACCCCCUCGACGGUCCGUCGUGCCCAUGACGGUCCGUCGUGGGAUCCAUCGACCCAGACAGUUAUUACCAGAAUAAACUCUACUGUUCAAAACGACUAACAGGUCGUUACAUAUAAUUACGUACGGUAGUCAAUUAUUAGAUUCAUAUGAAUAUUAUAUAAUUUGAAUAGGAGGGAAUACAGAGGUUUACAAUAUUUUUAAAUUUUUGUAAAGUAAAAUAACUUAUGCACGAUGUCGUUGUCAAUUAUAUUGGAUUAUUGACCAUCCUAAUUGCAUUUUAUGCUAGUUAAAUUUUUAUACAAUAAAAUAUAUACACUUGGAUAUUUAUAUUUUUAUACAACAGUUAAUGGUGUAUGUAAUUGAAAAAUUAAUAUCCUACAUACAGUUAAGAGCAUAAAUAUCAAGUUGUAAUCAUACUCUUUAAAAAUAAACUACUUAUAGCAUAUUAUUAUGAUCCUAUAGCACAUCAAUUAAUAAUAUAUUAAUUAAGAAAAUAUUUAAAAAUAAACUAUUUAUAGCAUAUUAUUAUCAAAUUAUAGCAUAUUAACUAAUAAUAUAUUAAUAAAAAAAUUAUUAUUUAACUAAUAAUUAUUAUGUUUAAAUAAUCAGUUUCAUUUAUUCACUUACCUUUUAUCAACAAAACCUUUUAAGUUAUUACUGAUUAAUCAAUUACCUUUUAAAGUUUUUCAUAUAAAUAAUAAAUUAUUAAAUAUUAAUCAAUUACCUUUUAAUGUUUUUAAUAUAAAUAAUAAAUUAUUAUUUAUUAAAUAUUAAUUAAACUUCAUAUUAUAUAGUUACCUUUUAAAAAAUAAAAUCUAAAAAUUAGGGAUUUGAUUUUAAUUAGAUUUUAAUUAAUUUCAUAUUAUAUGGUUACCCGAUAACUAUUCACCCCCAUAUCAACCAAUACUCUUUUAUCUUCCCUCAAUACACUCAACCUCUCUCCUAUUUACAUGCUUCUCUUUCUACCAUAUUAAUUUUGCACACUUUUACGUUUCUCUCUCUAUUAAUCAAUUAAAAGCACCACAUGUUUCUCUCUCUAUUAAUUAAUUAAAGAUAGAAACUCUUUCAAGCUUUUAACUUAUUUUCCAAAAUCAGAUUAACCUUAAAAUCCUUAUUCAACUAUAUCUCUAUCAAUCUUUCACAAGGUUUUUUAUUUUUCGACCAUCAAAUUCGCAAUAUUGCAUGAUUUUCGAAAAAAAUCGUGUCGUAUAGAUCAUCAAACAGGUUUAUUUCUUAAAGUAUUUAUUUUUUCUCUGAUUCUUUUGUCAACUUAUUUAAUUUUUAUAUGUUGUUACUUGAUUUUAGGAGAAAUUUACGUUGUAUAGAUAAUGCAGGUUUCUUCAAGAUUUAUAUUUGUUUAUUUCAAAUUCUUUAAUAUUUAUUUGUCUAUAAAUUUUUAGGAUCUGAUUGUUGAAUACAAUGUAUAAACCAAAUACCCUAAGGAGAUUCACAAGAGAUACAAACUAUACCGAUAACUUCAUGGUUGAAAUACCAUCUUUUGAUCUAUGUAUAACUCAAAUUCAAUUGCAAAUCUCAGGCUAUACAACUGCGAUGGAAUUAGAGAAGAAGUCGAAUGAUGAACUAGUAAGGUCUAGUCCUUCUAAAAGGAAGGUAGUGUCAACGGUGAAAGCAAUCGAAAAAAAAUGUUACAAGAGGAGGAAAGUAAAAAAUUAUGUCCCGGACAUGAUUGGAGAACCGGUUGUUAAUGAAGAACAAGACGAAGUGCAUGAAGAAUCACAUAGUUCAUCAAUUUCUUCUUCUUCUUCUCUUCUUGGUGUGUGAAACCAAGAGAUGAUUUUGACUUGUCACAGAAAUCCAGCAGUAGAGAUCUUGUAACACUCAUGUAUGCAUGUUGUAUAAAAUAUAUUUAACUAUAUAUAUCAUAAUAGAUUUACUGUUGUAUUUAAUGGUAGUAUGCUUAAAUUAUUAUUUGCACUUUAUUAAAUAUGUAUGAUUUUUGUAUAAAUUUCAAUUGCAAUAUGCAAAAAUAUAUGAUCGUUGUAAAAAAUGUAUAAAUAUUGUAUAAAUUAUGAAUGCAUAUUGAACUUUGACAUAUGUAACGUAAACAAAUGAUAUAUAUAUAUACAUAUAUAUAUAUAUAUACAGAAAAGGGCCUAAAAUAUCCUUAAAGUAUUGAAAAUGGUACAAAAUUACACCUAUUGGCUCCAAAAUGUCCUUCCCACCCACCUAAUGGGUCCAAAAUACCCUUGUCAUCCACCUUUUGGUUCAAAAUUGACCACUUAUUUAACGGUUUUAUAUUUAAAUAUUUUUUAAAAUACGUGGCGCUCAACUAUUUGUUAUAAUCUAUCUUAUUAGUGUAAUUUACAAAUCAAUCCACUACCCACCCAUUACUAAUUAAAUCCCUCUAAAUUAAUGAACCCGUCAAAUUAUUAAUGCAAGCUACUACCAAUUGAGUGUUUUUAAAAAAUAUAGAAGAAAAUUAUCAUACAUUCAAGUGGCUACAUAAAAAUCACCGAUAAACUUAAAAGUCUGACUAUGUUCAUCUUAAUUAUUCUUACGUCUUAAUUAUGUGAUGUUACCUCAUAGGUAACUUUUUUUCAAAAUAAUAUAUUAAAGGUUUUAAAAUAAAUCAUAAAUAUUUAUAAAAUUAUAUUUAAAAUAAGAGGCAUUAAUUAAAUCGAGAUGUAUUAUUUCUUUACCUUUAAUCAUAAUUUUCUAAUUCAAUUUUGAAAUAAAGUGUCCUCCUAAAUAAGCGGCUCAACCUAAAUUUCAUUGGGGCUUCGAUUCGGACUCAAAUAAUUUUGAAUGUCAUUUUCAGUAAUCUAUAAUUUCAUCGUGUUUUAGUAGUGUUUAUGACAAUUUUGAUAUUAUAAUUGAAUUAUUAAUUGAGUGAGGUUUAGUUUGUAAUGAGUGGGUAGUGGAUUAGUUUAUAAAUUAUAUUAAUAAAUUAAAAUUAUAAUUAAUAGUUGAACGCCCAGUAUAUAUAAAAAAAUAUUUAAAGAGUUUAAUCUUAAAACAAUUGAAAAUGGUCAAUUUUGAACCCAAAGGUGGAUGACAAGGGUAUUUUGGAGCCAAUAGGUGGAUGAAGGGUAAUUUUGUACCAUUUUCAAUACUUUAAGGUUAUUUUAGGCCCUUGUGUGUGUAUAUAUAUAUAUAUAUAUGACAAUGUUUUACGAAACCAAAUUUUAUAAGUGUCAAUGAUAACAACUGCACUCAAUAAAACAAAACGUGUUUCUAACAUUCAAAACAACACAAUAACAAGUGUAACAUUACGAAAUCAUUAUUUUUGCACAGGAUAAUUUGAACAUUUCUUUCUAUUGUGUCCAACUUGACGACAUCUACUCCAAAUCAUUUUUGUUCUUUUGAAUUUCACGUCAGCAAACCCCUUCCAUCUUUCAAGUUUUGGCAUACCCGCCGUACAAAAUUAAUACAAAAUAUAUAUUCUAAUUUCAUUAGAAACAUAUACUGUAAUUUUGAAAAAAAAAUGGACUUUCAUACACAAAUGAUACACGUUUUGUAUAAUCUUCAUACACUAUUAAAAAAAAUUCAAACUUCAACAUUACACAAAUUUAUAAUCAGUUCAUAUAAUUCAUACACACUUCAUGCACAGUUAAUAUAUCAUUCGUUGUCCUAUACAAUACUCAAAUUAAACAAACACAAUAUAUUUUCAAUACAGAAUUAAUAUAAAAACAUAUAUUAUAAUUUAAAUAGAAACAUAUAUUGUAUGUCAAACUCUUCAAAUUCUCAGGCGUGCAACAUUGAAUAAAUGCAGUAAUUAUGACUAAAAAAAGCCACUUAAUUUAUAUUGUCAUAAGUUCUUAAUCAUUAAAAUUAAUUACUCAUUAUCACUUUAUCUACUUAAUUUUUAAUUGAUUUUUAAUAACAACUCUUUUUAAUAAAUUAUAGUUAUAGAUGUCAAUAUGGGCUAGCCCACCCCAUCUGGGCUAACCCAUGCAGACUUUGACAUUUUACGAGUCAGGCCAGGCUCGCCCAUUUUUGGCGUGGGUCAGAAAAUGGUCGGCCCAACCCAUAAGUAUGUGGACUACAGGCUUAAUGGGUCAACCCAUUUUUUAAAAAAAAAUUAUAUUUUUUUAUAAUUAUUAAAUUUAAAUUAUAAUUAUAAUUUAAAAUAUUAUCAUAAAUAUCGACAAAACAAUAUUACAUGAUGUUAAUGUUAGUACUUGUUAAUCAAAUCAAAAUAAAAUUAUUUUUAUAAUAUUUAUUAGGGAUAAUUUCAGAGACCUCCAUGUUUCGCUCUAUAACACUCACCUCCCUUUUGGUUUACGAUAUUACGUCUACCUCCCUUAUUUUCAUUACUUCUAAUCAUUCUUUAAAUCUAUUUAAAACAAAUAUAAAUUAAUAUAGAUUUGACAAUUUUACUCUUUUUUAUAUAAAUUUCUUCUUAUUAAUGAAUAUUAUAUAAAAAAUAACUCAUUUAACAAAUACUUUAAAAAUAAAUUAACACAAAGACUUAUUUUUUUAAUCCAACAAAGAUCAAAUUCUUAACUAAGCUGACCACAUUUUCACCAAAUAUUAACUCUUUAUCUCUAUUACACCUUUACCAAUUCAUGUAAAAUUUUCCCCCACAAUAACCCAUCAUUUUUAGGCAAUAAUUUCUUCAAAUAGCAGACAAAAUUGAACUUUCCAAGAAAGAAAUUCGAUAAGAACGAUAAGAUUUUGUUCUAGUUAAACAAUUACACAAGCGAAGAAGAAACAUGAUCCAACGAAUAAAGAUAAAUCAUUGAAAAUUAGAUCUAAGCAUUCAUAAAGGGUAAAUUUGUCAAAUCUAAAUUAAUUUAUAUUUAUUUAAGAAGGUUUAAAGAAUGGUUACAAGAAAAUGAAAAUAAGGGAGGUAGACGUUGUUGACACCCAAUUUUGGCCUACCAUUUUAAAAAUUCGUGAUUUUGAAGCUUUGUUUAUUUAAUAGCAAAUUUUUGUUCGAUGAUUUUAAAAUUCAUACAUUUUGAGUCAAAUAAAAAAAUGCCUUUCCCACGUUGUCUCUCAAACAAUUUUCAAUUUUGCAAUAGUCCCACAUCGGUAUUUCAUCCUUUUUGAGGAUUUUUGGGUUUCUACAUAAGCCCACUUCAUUCACUAUUUUUAGGAGAGGAUUUGGAGGGGAAAACAAAAGAAUACUCAUAAAAUUUUGAGAAUUCUUGGUUCCCAUAGUUAAAAAAUUUUAAAGUAUUUUUGUGGUUUUUCGAGUUGAGGAGGUGGAGUCGUCUCUUUCAAAUUCGGAGUUUCGGUUUGCUGUCCAGAACCAGGUAAAUUUUUUUUUUGCCUUGUUUUAUUUAAUUCCCAGUUCUUUUAUGUUUUCUGUUUAUUAUAUGUAGCUUGUUUUGUUUUUUUAGUUUAAUGUAGUUCUAAAAGUCAAUUAAUAUUUGUGUUUAUUGUAGUUUUAAUAUUAGCAUUAUUUUACGAUUCGAUGUUUAUUUAUUUAUUAUCACUAUUAUUUUAAAAUUGUUAGUCAACUAUUUGCUAUCUUAACUUUUCAGGGUUUUGUUAUUAUUCUAUUUUAAUGUUAUUUUUAAUUUUUAUAUAUUACGUUAUUGUUGUUUCCAUUUCUAAUUAUGUUAUUUAGUUUGAUUGUUUUUUUCCAUAUUCUCUUGGGAUAAGUUUGUUAUGUUUUGUUGAUGUUCAGUUUAUAUAUUUUAUAUGUUGAAAAGGGCCGAUGAAGAAAUUACCGUCGAUUUCCAAGGCCUCCCAUGUCAAUAAGACAGAUUUUUAUUCUUAAGUUAUUAUUUGAGUUAUUCAUUUUUUGUUAUAUUUAUUUGGCACUAACUCUUUUACUAAGUGUCUUUACAGGUACACUGAGGUGCUUUUCCUUGAAAUUAUUCGAAAAAGUUCGAAUUAUAUUUUUAUUUCGUUAUUUUGUAAAUAUUGACGUUAGGCAAACCUUAGGCCGAUGAUUAUUAUUUUAUUGUGUAUAUUGUGUGUUUAUUAUUUGUAUAUUAUUUUAUUCUUCCUCAAUUUGAAAAAAAAAAUGAAUUCAGUCGGGAACCACAUUUGUGGAUUCCGAAGGGUGCCUAACCCCUUCCCUUCGGAAUAACUUGAACCCCUUACCUAGAAUCAAUUUGAUUUCGUAGAUUAAUAAUCGAUUUCCUAGUUUUCCUAAAAAUUAGGUGGCGACUCUUUUUUUAAAAAAAACUCAUUUAUUUUUUAAAACUUUGUUAAAAUUGAAUCAAUUAAUAAUUUUCUGAGUUGCCGUGACGUUUCGACUUAUUCCAAAAGAUUAGGGAUGUAAACAAACGUAAUAUCGUAAACCACAGGGAAGGUGAGUGUUAUAGAGCGAAGCCUGAAGGGAGGUCUCUGAAAUUAUCUCUAUUUAUUAAGUUUUUUUUUCAAGUAAAAGUAUAAAUAUAUAAAUAAAAAUAUUAACCUAAUUAUUUUGAAUUUGGACUCUCUUUAAUUUUAAAUUUUAAUAUUAUAUUAUAUUUUUUAAUUAAUUAUUAUUGGCCCACGGACCGGCCCUACCUAUAUUUUUCAAGCCCAUCAAAUCAACAGGCUUAUUCAAGUCGGGCUAAACAAUCCUUUUCUUAAAUGGGCUCAAAAAAUCUUAGUCCAACCCUAUUAAAUCCCCAGUUAGGCCAGGCCUGCCCAACGGGCCUAACACAUAUUGACGGCUCUAAUUAUAGUUAACAAUAUAAUUACUAAUAAAAUGCUAUAGAGUGAGAUAUUAAAUGCUACAUAAUGAAAAUAAAAUUCUAAUGUCAUUACUUGGUAAUAAUACUACAUAUAAUGCUAUAUACAAAAUUUUCUCUAUGUAAUUAUUAUACAAUAAAAUAUAUACACUUGGAUACUUAUAUUUUUAUACAAUAGUUAGAUGUGAGUAUGUAUUUAUUUAUUGUUAAUUUAAAAAUGGAAGUUCAGAGUAUAAGGGGGCGUAAUUAAACGACCAACAAUAAUAAUAACAAAAAUUACAUUAUUUAGUGCAAUAUAAUUUAAAUUGUAUCAUUGUUCUUUAAAAAAAUCUACAUAUAGUUUGAAUACAACGAGGUUUAGGUCUCAUUUAUUUCCACUUAAUGGAUGUAUGAAUCUUAAUCAUUCAGAUUCAGUUGAUUAAGUAUGUUUGGUAUUUAGGUAUGAAUCUGAAUCAUUCUGAUUCAGCCCAUUAAGUUCAUUUGUUUUAUUAUUUAAAAAAUCUCUUAAUGGGUCUGAAGAGGUCUAAACGAAUCAAUUUUGUAGGAGACUCUUAACAACAUUCAGACUCAUUUAAUAAAUUAUCAAAUAAUAAAUCAUUGCUUUCCUGUUUUGGUAUGUCUUUUUAUCUCAUAACUAAAAAAAAAUUCUCUCUUUUCUCAAUCAAACACCAUUUUCCUCUCUUCAACUAGUAAGUUUUCAUAAAUCCUUUCAAGUAUUUCUUUUUAUAUCAAUAAUUUUCUUGUAUUGACGUGUGUCAAAAAUAGUGGUUGCAAUAAUAUAUUUGAUGUAUUAUUGUUUAUUAUGGGUUUUGAAUGAAAAGUAGUGCUCCAAAUCAUGAUCAUUAAACUCUUAAAACUUUUUUUUAAUCAAAAGUGGUAUAUUUUGUUGAAAUGAAAAUUUUAUAAUAUGUUAUUAAUAUAGUAUUCAAUUUCAUAUGCACAUUCAAAUAUAGAAAACAAACAACAUGAAUUAUUUAGUGUUUAGAUUUAGAGACCACAUCUUAAUAUUCAUAUGUGUAUUCACAUCAAAACACUUAAAUCUUAUACUAUGUUUGAAUCAUUUUAUCCAUUGUAUUGUAUUGUAUUGUUACUAUACCUACGAUGUUUGUUUUGAUUGUUACUUAAAAAAUGUAUUGUACUGUAUUGUUAAAUUUCGUUGUUACGUAACAAUUAAAAUUCCUAUUUUAUGAACAACCAAUUUGGUGUGUUCCCAUUGUUACUUAAUUUCUUUUUUCAAUUAUAUUUUUAUAUAAUAUUUCAAAAUACUAUUUUACCCUUUACCUUAAUUAUUCAAAUCUAGUCAAACCUCUUACCCUUGAAUAAUUAACAAUAUUUAAGUAAAUUUAUAAAUUACAAUACAGUACAAUAUAAUCAAACUAAACAAUUAAAAUGUUACUAUACAACAACAAACAAUACAAUCUAGCUAAACAUUGUAUCUACCAUACAAUACCGUACAAUAUAGUACAAUACAAUACAAUAUAUUAUGAAACAAUGGAUAACAAUGAUCCAAACAAAGUGUUAAUGCAAAUCUGAAUAUUCAUAUUUGUAUUCAGAUUCAAACCUCUUAAUCUUAAUCCAAGCAAAUGAAACCUAAGUCAUGAACUAUAGCAUUUUUUUGUAAAUAUUAUAUAUACUUAUAGUUUUUUAAAUUUCAUAACCCUAAACUAUAGUCAUUUUUGUAAGACCAUUCUCAAUCCAUCUCUAUUUUACUCUCAUUCUCUAUAUUUGGAGAGUAAAAUAGAGAAUGCCCUCUCCAACCCCUCUCCAUAUUACUCUCUAUACUCCAUUUAUAGAGAGGUAAUUUGGAGAACUACUAUUCACACUCUCUAUUUCACUUUUUCAAUACUUUAUUAUUAUUUUCAUUACCUUUUAAUUAACAUAUUAUUUUACAUAUAAUUUCAUUAAUUAAACAUCUAAUAUUCAUGAUUCUUUUUAAAUGUAAUAUACUAUUUUAAAAAAUAUAUUAUCUAAUAUAUACUACUUUAAUUUCAUUAAUAUAUUUUUAAUAAUUUUCACCAAUUAUAAUGUUAUUGAUUUUCUUUUUAAAGAAUACACAAAAUUAAAAUGGUAAGAUGAAAAAAUUAAUUUAAAUAUGAAUAACAAUACAAUACAAAGCAAUAAUUUAAAUACAAAAUAAAAUACAAUACAUAACAUAAUAAUUAAUACGACGAAACAAAAAUCAAGUUGAAAAGAUGUGGAACGUAUAUUCGGAGUUUUGCAAUUAUUGCAAGACCGUCACGUUUUUGGAGAAAGAAAGUGCUACAUGAUAUAAUAACUACAUGUAUUAUACUACAUAAUGUGAUAAUUGAGGACAUGAUCUUCACCAAUUCAAAAUGUCGUAGAGGCUUGAUAUACCGUGGUUUCACGGUAUUAUUAAUACUUUUUCCUUAAGUUUAGUAUGUCCAAAAGCCUUUUUGUGCUAAUUUUUAUAUAAGUUUCUCCUUAUUUGCAAAAAAUCUGUCCAAAGAUGAAUGCGGAGGUUUUUGAGCGAAGAAAUGCAGAAGAGAGCACCUACGGAGCUUGUGAUGGUCCGUCAUGCUCGUGACGGUCCGUAGGUGACAACGUAGUGCAGCUGCUGAAGGAAGAUGGGGAAGUCUGACCAAGUAUGGGGUUACGGAGUCCAUGACGGCCCGUCGUGUCUAUGAUGGUCCGUCCUGCAGGUUCGUCAUGAAGUUCAGAGAAGUAGUCCCAGUACCCUUAUUCCAAGAGUUUAAGUGUUUUGGAACGAAGACCCUCGAGGGACCGUUGUGCCUGUGAUGAUCCGUAAUACUUGCCAUCAAGGGUAAUGAAGAGAGCAGCAGAAGAAAUUGCACAAGUAUGGGACGACGGAGUCCAUGAAGGUCCGUCGUGACCACAACGAUCCGUCGCGAUGUCCGUCGACCAGCCACAUUUUGACAGAUUUCCAGCAAAUAGAUUCCUUGUUUAAUUAGGUUUUUAUUUUCUAUAAAUAGUUCCAAAAACCUCAUUUUUGAGGUUAGACUUUGGACCAUUGUUAGACUCUGGAUUAUUUGGUUAGGCCUUUGAUUAUCAUUAGAUUUUUUGUGAGAUUCUUGAUUACUUUGAGAUUCUCAUGAAAUUGGGACAUGAUUUUGAGCCUUUUAGAGCUAACAUUCUUAACAGAGAAAUUCUUUCAAACAUCGAUGAAGUUUUUAGAAAACUUAUUCGUGAAGAGACAUGCAUCAAUACUCUAGCAUCUAUGGAUUCGUCCUACACAAUUGAUGCGGUUAUAUAUAUAUUAAAAGGUACUCAUAAAUUAUAUACUCAGAGCUCAAUUCAAAAGUCUGGACCACAGUGUUUUGAGUGAAAAGAGUACGAUCAUAUUGUGCCACAUUGAAAGAAAAAAAAAUGUAAUAACUGUAAGAAGCCUGGCUAUAUAAUUUUAGAGUGCAAUCGACGCUCAAACACGCGUCAAACCAAGCAAAAAGCUUAUCAAGCGUAUGAUACGCUCAAACUUACUUCUCAAAUAAGAAGUAAAGCGGUCGUGCCAAGUAAAUAACCCAACUAAUGAGGUUGGGAUCGUUCCCACGAGGAAAAUAGUUUAGACUUAACUUCAAUCUAUUAUUACUAUUGUUUAGUCAAUUACUUUCUUGGAAAGCAAAAAAUGAUAAAACGGGGGGGGGGGGGGGAGGGUUCAUUUCUAAAUAAAUGAAAAUAACUAGCGAACUUGAAGGAGACAACUAACAGCUUCAAAUGUUGGAGUUUAAUCAAUUAAUAAAAGUAAAUAGGGUUUACGUGUUCCCCACAGGUUCAUAACUUGAUAAUUAUAACUGUAAAUAUUCUAUCCUAGUAUCUUGCAUGCAAAGUCAUAAGUUAUGUAUUUCUAAAUCCUUGGUCCGGCAUCUAGAAAAUUUCACUCCGCACCUUGGUCUGGCUACGUCUGUUACUAUACUAACCCUUAUCUUAACCGCAUAUUAAGCAUCGUAUUCGAUAUUUGAAUAUGUUAUUACCUCGUACCAAUCAAUACUAGCCUAUUAGAUAGUAUACACUAAAUCUAUGUUGAUAAUUCUUUUCCUAUUAUCUACCUCCUUGGUCCGGCAAGUAGCAUUAAGGCGAGUUCUAAUGUUGGUCAUCCGUUAAAAAGACUUCUAAGCAAAAUAAUUAUCAAUACAUGCAAGACACUAUUCUAGAAUUGUUAUUUUAGUUAGGUUUUACCUCAUUAUUCACCUAUGGUUCCCACAACCCUAGUUAUGGAGUUUAGUUACCCAUAGUCAUAUUCACAAUAUUCAAAUAUGUAAUAUAAGAAUUCAUGCACUUACUUCAAUGAGAAAGAGUAAAAUUCAAAAGUUCGCUUGAUUAAUCAACAAAAAUCACCAACAAUCAAUUACUGAAAUUAAUUGAAGAACAAAUAUUCUCCAAAAGUGUAACAAUAAUCCUCAAGUCUAAUCCACAAAAGAAGCUCAAAAAUCAAGAGUCUAACAAAGAGUCUGAAAAUAAUCAAGGGUCUAACCUCAAAAAUGAGGUUUUUCAAACUAUUUAUAAAAAAAUAAAAACCUAUUAAAUAAGGACUCUAUUUGCUGGAAAUCUUUCAAAACGCGGCUGGAUCGACGGACCUCGCAACGGAUCGUCGUGGUCACAACGGACCGUCAUGGAACUCCAUCGUUCCAUACUUGUGCAAUUUCUUCUGUUGCUCUCUUCAUUACCCUUGACGGCAGGUAUGACGGAUCGUCACAGACACAACGGUCCGUCGAGGGUCUCAUUUCCAAAACACUUGAACUCUUGAAAUUUGGGUACUGGACUACUUCUCUGAUCUUCUUGACGAACCAGCCAGGACGGACCGUCAUGGCUACGACGGUUCGUCACGCACUCCGUAACCCCACACUUGGUCAGACUUCCCCAUCUUCCUUCAGCAGCUGCACUACGAUGCCACCUAUGGACCAUCACGGGCACAACGAACCGUCAUAAGCUCCGUAGGUGGUAGUUUUCUGUAUUUCUUGCUCAAAAACCUCCGCAUUCAUCUUUUAGACAGUUUCCUACAAAUAAAAAGAGAAACUUAAAUAAAAAUUAGUACAAAAAGACUUUUGGACCCGCUAAACUAAGGAAAAAGCAUUAAAAAUACCGUGAAACCACGGUAUAUCAGCGUCUGAAGAUUAUGUAAGUAAAACAGAAUUCACACAAUCUUCUUUGGAUCUGAAUACACUUCAAAAGAUGAUACAAGAUUCAGUUGGAGUUGCUUUCCUCGGAGCUAUAUCUAGUGCUAUCCAUGUUGCCUAUCCUGGUAAGAAUUUAAAUAAGAAUUCAUAAGUUUGGCAUAUAAAUUUGACGGUAUCUAAUCAUAUGACAUGAGAUAUUCAUAAUCUACACUCUUUAUCAACUCCAUCAGAAAAUCAUCUUACUCAUAAUCAAUGGUGAUACUUUACUUGCCUCUAAGAUUGAAAAAUUAUCUUUCUUUACUAAUCUUAUAUCGGUUGGACAAUUGGUGAAAUUAAAUUGUCUUGUUAAUUUCUCACGUUUUUGUUGUGUUGUCCAGAAUCUGAAGUCAUGAAAGGUGAUCACCAAGGGUCGUAAAGUUGGAAGAAUGUUCGAGUUGUCCAUGUCUGAAACACCUCAAUAUGCUUGUUAUAUGUCUACCACUAAAGGAGACAUCACUAACUCAAACAAAUUGUGGUACUUUUGGAAUCAUUGUUGUGGAUACAUGAUCAAAAACUUUCUUUCAUGUUACAAUAUUGUCUUCAUUUGAAUAAGAAAUCAUGGAUUUUAUCUUCCAAAUUUCCUUGUGAAAAUUGUUCUAAAUCCAAAAAUCAUAAAUUGUCUUAUGACUUUAUUUAUGAUUUGAUUGACAAUGAUGUAUAGGGUUCUGCACUAAUUUCAUCUAGAUUGGGGUAUCGAUAUUUUUAUCUUGUUAAUUGAUCAUGUUGCUCGACAUACACGGUCAUCUUUUUGUAGAAAUGAAUGUGAAGUUCCUAAAAUCAUACAAUAAUUUGUCACCUAUGUUGAGAUUCAGUUAAAUAAAUGAAUAAAAAAUUUUCGAUCUGAUUCUGGUGAGGAAUACAUGAAGCUAGAAUUCAUAGAUUUUUUCAAAGAUAGAGACGUUACUUCACAACACUCUUGUUCAUACACAGCUGAGCAAAAUGGAUGGUAGAAAUAAAAAUAGACAUGUUUUGAAAAUCACAUCAAUCUUCUUUAUAUAUGAAAUGUUCCUAAAAUAUUUUGGGUUGAAGUCAUCCAAAUUUAUGUCUAUUUAAUAAACAGAUACACCAUUACCAUUAACCAAAAUGAUAGCCACAUUUCUUUCUUUUUGGUAAACUCCCUGAUUAUUCUCAUGAUCUCAUCUAAAAAUUUUUGACUCUGUGUUUUUUGUCCAUUUAACUAGACAUUAACAUCAUAAAUUAUCUGCUGCAGCUUUGAGGUGUAUUUUCUUGGGUUAUAAUGAUGUUCAAAAGGGCUAUCUUUGUUAUGGUUCUUCUAAGCGAAAAUUGUGAAUUUCAUAACAUGUAAUUUUCUUUGAGCAUCUGUUUGAUUACCCUGUUACCACUUCAAUAAAAUCAUACUCUGUCACCUUUCUGUACAAGCUUGAGAAUCAGCAGGAACAAAAUUUCACAUCUUUCAACAAAAACACUAAUGGCAUUACAGAUGAUCCAAGUCAAUCAGAUGCAUUCCGUACGAAUAAUUUAGUUAAUAGUACUUUUUCACAUAAUUCAUUUACCUUUUUUCACUGACUCAUUUGAUAAUAAUGAUUAUUGUGAUUAGGGGUGUACAAAUCGAAUCAUUAAGUCAAAUCGAACCGACGAACCAAAUUAAAUAAAAAAAAAUCGACUUGUGGUUUGGCUAUUGAAAAAAAAAACUGAUCACUCUUGGUUUGGUUUGGUAUUAGAAAGAUAAAAAAAUAUUAUUUACAUAUAAUCUACUUUGGUGAUAUAUUCUUAGUUAGUUUAUGAUUUUCACUUUUAUAUAUUUUAUUUAAAAUUUGAAUUUGUAAAAUUUUGUAUAUAUACAUAUAUAUAAAAUUUAUUUUAUUUAUAGCUAAACAAUAUUAUUUGAUAAUGUACUUUGCUAAUAUAUUUUUAGUUAGUUUAUAGUUUUCAAUGUUUAUCGAUUUUAUUUUAAAUUUGGAUUUGUAAAAAUUAUAAAUAUUUUAUCUUUUGUUAAGAUCCGAAGUUAUAAUUAUAUUUUUAUAGUUUUUUAAAUUCGAAGUUGACAAUUUACUUUGGAAAUAUUUUUUGUAUUCAGUUUGCAUCUAGCCUUUGAUUUUAUUAGUUUAGCAUAAUGAACGUUCAUAUUUUUUUAAAAAAAUAUUUUGUACUCAUGUGAAUUUCAUAGUCUUUUCAAAAAUUUCUAUCCACUUAACAUUUUUUAAGUUUAGUUUAUUACACACGUAAGUGAAAAACUAUUUAUCGCUUUUUCGAAUAUGGUAUAGUUGUAAAAAAUUGAAAAAAUUAAAAAACGGAAAAAACCCGAAAGAACCGACUAAAACUGAAAUCGAAAAAACCGACUUUAUAUGGUUUGAUUUGGUUUUUAGACUUGAUAAACUGACAUAACUAGUUUAGAUUUUUUUAAAUUAAAAAAUCAAAUCGAACCGACCUAUGUACACCCUUAAUUGUGAUGGUGAACCUGUACCAAGUGACCAAAUAAAUUAUUCUAUUUCUUCUCUUUGUCACUCUAAACAAAAAAUAUUUGUCCCAGAUCGAUAUGGAUACUCUUCUGGCAGAUACGAUAGAUCGUAUGCCUUACUUGCUACUUUGAAUUCUAUUUUUGUCCCAACCACUUACCAACAAAUAUCAAGUCAUGACUACUGGAAAAAAGCAAUGAAAGAGGAACUUUCAGUGUUAGAAGAAAAUCAUACAUGGAAUUUGAUAUCCAAAUCCAUUGAAGCUUCUGUUAUUGGAAAAAGAUGGAUUUAUUUCGUGAAAAUGAAGUUUUGAUGGCACAUUGGAGAGGUACAAAACUCGACUAGUAGCUCAAGAAUAAAAAUAAGAAUAAGACUUAAACUAUGAGGAGAUUUUUGCUCAUGUUGCGAAAAUGACAACAAUUCGUGUGUUGCUCACUAUAGCAUCAAUUAAAUAGUGAAAACUUCAUCAAAUGAAUGUGAAAAAUGAAUUUUUUGCAUGGUGAACUACAUGAGCUUAUAUACAUGAAGCCUCCUCCAAGGUACAACCAAGUUCAAUCUGAUAUGGUUUGUUGUCUUUGGAGAUCUCUUUAUGGUCUCAAGCAAGCACCACGUGCAUGGUUUGAGAAGUUUCGAUCUACCAUCAUAAAUGCUGGAUUUUCUCAAACUGUUUCUGUUUCUGAUUAUUCAUAAUUAAUUUGGCAUCGCAUGAUAAUUUUACUAUUGUAUGUGGAUGGUAUGAUUACAACCGGCAAUGAUAAGAUUGAAAUUAUACAACUCAAGAAUCUUCUUAAUGCAACUUUCAAAAUAAAAGACCUUGGCAGGUUAACAUAUUUUUGGGGUUGGAGGUCGAAUAUUUGUAGGAUGGUAUUAUGCUAAGGCAAAGGAAGUAUGCAGAGGAUCUUGUCACACAAGCAUGUCUAAGUAAUCAGAAGGUCACUCACACACCGAUCAAUGUGAAGUACAAAAAUGAUAAUGGUGACUCACUUGCAGAACCAACAUUGUACAUGAGGCUCAUUGGUUGUCUAAUAUAUUUGACAAUAACAAGACUUGACAUCUCUUAUCAAGUUCAAGUCUUGAGCCAAUUUGUUACAAAUCCUUGCCAACAUCAUUUUUUUGUCCACCUCAGAAUCAUUCUCUAUGUUUGAUAUACAAAUAAUCAAGGUCUUUUUUUUUUUCAUUCAGCAACAUCUCUAAAUCUCGAAAAAGGGUAUACAGAUGCAGAUUAGGCAGAAUGAAACUCUCGAAAGUCUACGAUAGGAUGGUAUAUGAUAAUCAGAUCAUCACUUGUCUUAUAGAAGUGCAAGAUUCAUCCAAAAAAAAUUAAAAUCAUCAAUGAAGGCAGAAUAUAGAUCAACGUUAGUCGUUUGCUCUGAAAUUGUGUGGAUAUGUCGAUUGAUGGUAGAACUUCAUAUCUCUUUUGAUGGCUCCACUACAUUACAUGCUGACAAUACUAAUCCACUACCAACAAAUUCGAUCCACCAUGAGAACACAAAACACAUUGAAGUGGAUUGCCAUUAUAUUCGAGAACUUGUUGUUGAUAAGUCAUUAGUCUUCGACAUAUCACGUUGCAUGAUCAAUUAACAAACUUGUUUACAAAAGCGAUGAAAAGAAACAGACACCAAUUCUUAUUAUCCAAAUAAAUGCUUCUUGAUAGUAACAUCAAUUUGAGAGGGGAUAUUGACCAUAUCAUAUAUGAUUUGAUAUGAUUCCAAAUAUCUGAUAUGAUUCAAAAAUAUUCGGGACAAUAUUCUAAUUUAGUUAUGCACAAUCACACUAUUGAUAUGUGCAAGAUAAGAAAAAUAUUGUGCUAGAAUCAUGCUUGUACCUUUGUAUAUAAAUAGUGGAUAGCUUAUUAAUUCUAAAGACAAGAAAUACAUAAUAGUUUUCAACUCUUUUUUAUCUCUGAUUUCUCAAUUGUUAUCAAUCACUUGUUGUAUUUUAUAUAUAAAUAUAAUCUAAUUUGAACAGAUAGAAAAAAUUGAGGUUUAUAACACUUUUCAAAUUUUAUAUAUUAGAAUACUUAUACAAUUGAAUACUUGUAGUACAUAAGGUGUCAUUGUCACUUAUAUUGGAUUAUUAACAAGAGUUUAAAAUGUUGAAUCGUUAAUAUAAGUGUAUUUUUGAAUUUUUUUUAUAUGAGAUAUGUGUCAAAAACAUACCUAAGUUAUUUUUUUUAGUGUUAUAUCUAAACUAUUGAGAGUGUGAAUUUCAUAACUAUGUUAACACUUAUUAGUGUAAGAAACACGUCUCAGUGGUGUGUGUGAUACUCAUUCUCUUUUAUUUGUAAAAAACUUGUCACGUGACAUUUCACAUGAAAAAAUAUUUCACCAUUACAAAAAUUAAAUAAAUCAUUAAUAUUAGUUAAAACUAAAAAUUAAAAAAUUGGUUCAUGCAGAGGUUUCAAUUUACACCUGCUUUGACUGAGGCACUUAGAGACAAGGUAUUUUCCCUAAAUAAUUCUUAGGGACAAAUGCAUAGUCUAUCUUGACAAUGACAUCCUAAUAAAUCAUUUAUUUAGUCUGAGAGAAUAAAAUAAUUAAGUUUGAAGGUGAAGCUUGUAGCGUUUAUGAUGAAAAUUAAAGGACGGUUCAUGUACACCUGCAGUGCUUUGGGAUAUUUCUCAGUAUGAUGUUAGAGUAAUGCUAAAUGGCUAAAUUUUGGCCAUAAUUUGACCAAAAUGUAAAAAGACUAGAGUAUCCUUGUUUUAGUUUUUGCAUUUAUUUCCUCAAUACUUUUCUCUCCAAACAAAACUAACUUUUUUCUAUUUCCCAUACUCCUUCAACUACUAAAACACAAAUUAUUUCGCUACCAAGAAAAUGAAAAAUGUUUUUUUGUGUAUAAUAUUUUUUUGUGUUUAUAGUUCAUCCUAUUAUUUUUAAAAAUAAAUAUUGCUUAGUUAAUAAAAAAUUGUAAGCUUUAGUUAAAAAAAUAUAUUUGUAAUUUAUUUUUAUACAUUAAUAUUUUUUCAUUAUAUACCAAAUUAUGUUCUACAUAUAUAUAAUAUACACAGCUUUCUUUAUCGCUUUCCUGAACUCAAUUUUGAUCAUAAGGUGAACACAUACCUUUGAAAAAUUAUGUUUGCUUAAAAUAAACUUUUUUAAUUGUAAAAGAUAAUUAAAUUUCUCAUUAAUAAAAACGACAAAUGACUAUCUUAUUUACUUAAGAUUAUACAUAAUUAUUUUGUAAUACAAAACUAAUAAAAUAUCAUAAUUAAGCAAAUAUUAAAAAAGUAUAAUUAAAUUUUUCUAUAAAUAUAACCAAUUAUAUAGAUUAGUCUAUAUAAUGAAUGUUUUUCAAAAGGAAAAAAAAUUAUAUCGAAAGUUAGACAUUUCUAAAUAUAAUUGAUUUAUAACUAUGCCAUGAAUAACACAUUAAUUUUUUAUAUUAUAAUCAUUUCACACAAGAAUUAACAUAUAUAGAAAAUGGUGAAAUUACUUCACUAAUUUUAACCAUAAAUAAAAAAUUCAUUUAUUUCAAUAAUAUAAUUAAGUGGAUAUUUCAAAACAAAUUAAUAAAUUAUCACUCAAUACCUACUUAUCAAUUACAAUACUUUAAAAUAGAUAUAUUUUAUACAUAUGUUAAAUUACAAUAUGUUUAACGUGUAUAAAUAAAGUAUAACAUAAUUAAGAUAUAUAUUUUUAAAAAUUAUGUUCAUUUAAUAUAAAAUUUUAAUAUUUUAAUAACGAUAAUCAAAACUCAAAAUACUUUAAAAUUGAUAUACACCGGCACAUUAUUAUAACACAUAAUUGAAUUUUUUAAAACAUAAUAAUUAAAUAUGUAGUUUAAAUUUUUUAAAAAUAUGUAGUUUAAUUCUUAAAUAUGUAGUUGUAAAUACCAAUUUAAUUUUUUAAAAAUAAUAACAAAACAUAAAUUUUAAAUAUGUAGUUUAAAUUUUUCAAAGCAUAAUAAUUAACAAUUAUGCAAUAUUACAACAUUAAUGUAUAAGUAUCUUGGGCUGUUGUUAAAUAGCAUCGACACUUACGAACCAUAUGAUUUUUAGUAUUUUCUUUCAUAUGUUGAUGACUAUCAAUUCUAUCAAUUUUAUAUAUAUAUAUAUAUAUAUAUAUAUAUAUAUAUAUAUAUAUAUAUAUAUAUAUAUAUAUAUUUAAAUAGGUAAUUUAAAUUAAUUUUUAUAAAGUGUGAAAUAAAAUUACUUAAUUUUAAAAAUUCUUAAUCAGUUCAAAACAAAUAUUAAUUUGAAAGCAAAUAAAUAAAUAAUAAUAAUAUUGUCACUAAAACUUCAUAUACUUAAUAUUUUAGCGUAUCAUUUAAUAACAAAUAUUUCUUUUAUAAAACAACAAAUAAUACUAAUAAAGGAACACACACACACGCACGCACGCACACACAUACGCGCGCGCGCACACACACACACAAUGAAGUCUAAUUCCGCUAGAGAAAGUUGAAUAUGAAUUAAACCAAAGAGGAGUUUUUGACUCAAAAAGUAAAACACACACACACACACACACACACAAAAUGAAGUCUAAUUCCGCUAGAGAAAGUUGAAUAUGAAUUAAACCAAAGAGGAGUUUUUGACUCAAAAAGUAAAACCUGCUUGCCCGUUGGUUAGCUGCAUCUGUUCUUUGAACAUGGAUGGCGGUACCGAUUCUAAGUCGUUCUUGUGCUCUAAAAGACUUGCAUCAUAAGAGAAAAAAAUGACCUGCGGGAAUUCACUCUCCUGCGCUAGUUAAUCAGAUGUCAUCCGAGUCGCCACCUUUUUUACUAGUAAGGACGCAUGUAGCCAAAAAACUUGCGAGAAUGACGUUUUCUUCGCUGCCUUCUCCUCUCCAAAGGCCAAGGGAGAGACUUAUAUAUAUAUAUGUCACGACCCAAAACCGAGCCGCGACUGGCACCCAUACUACCCUCCUAUGUGAGCGAACCAACCAAUCUAAACAUUAACUUUUCAAUAUAAUAUCAACAGAAAGUAAUGCGGAAGACUUAAACUCAUUAAUAAAAUUCAAUUCAAUAACUUCUAAAAACUCAACAACUAUUAUUCCCCAAAAUCUGAAAGUCAUCACCACAAGAACAUCUAUGAUCAAAUUACUAAGCUAAGAGUAUUCUAAGAAGCUAAAGCAAGUAAAAGCUAGUCCAUGCCGGAACUUCAAGGCAUCAAGACAUGAGGAAGAUCCAGUCCAAGCUAGAAGCAUUAGCUCACCCUGAUAUCCGGAGUAAUGAAGACUGGCUAGAGUUACGGUUGAGUUGAAGACGACGGCACAUUUGCUGCACUCCACAAAUAAACAAGAAGAAAACAUAAAAAUAGGAGGUCAGUACAAACACAAGUACUGAGUAGGUAUCAUCGGCCAAGUCAGAAUAGAGAACAGUAUAUAUCAAGUAAUAUCAUAAAUCAACUACGAUACUCAACAUGUAGCAACAACAAGUACUAUAAUCAUUAAUAAGUACCGCCAAGUUCACACAUGAGGACUCAAGCCUCAAUACCAUACUCAUUUGGGAAUUAGGUUCAUUAGAUUGAGUACAUUAACAUCUUUCAAGAUUCAUUAUCUUUAUUUCUCUUGUGUCGGUACGUGACACUCCGCUCCCUCAUUAUCUUUAUUCCUCCUGUGUCGGUACGUGACACUCCGAUCCCCUACUACUAUGUGUCGGAACGUGACACUCCGAUCCCCUAAUUCUAUAUGUCGGUUCGUGACACCCGAUCCCCUAAAUCUACGUGUCGGUUUGUGACACCCGAUCCCCUAAAUCUACGUGUCGAUUCGUGACACCCGAUCCCCUAAAUCUACGUGUUGGUUUGUGACAUCCGAUCCCCUAAAUCUACGUGUCGGUUCGUGAUACCCGAUCCCCUAAUCUCAUUCUAUCAAUUCAUCAAGCCUUCUCUCUUACCAAGGCAUCGUCAAUCUCAUUACUUUAGUUCAUCAAGCGUUCUUUUAUGCCAAGACAUCAUCAUUAACAAGAGAUUAGGUUUUUUUAUCAAGAUUUGGGAUUCAAUAGCUUCAUCAUGCUUAUUUCAUCACAAUCAUAUAAUCACAUUCAUGCAAGCAUACAAUUAAGCAUAUAGCAGGGUUUACAAUACUACCAAUACAUAUCGUUCACUAUUAAGAGUUUACUACGAAUAGAAUGAAAACCAUAACCUACCUCCACCGAAGAUUAGUGAUCAAGCAAGCAAUUUCCCAAGCUUUGUUUCUCUCUCUCUUUUUGUUCUUUCUAUUUUCUUUAUUCAAACCCUCUUUCUUUUACCCUAAUUAGCAUAUAAUUAAGAAUAAAAGAUGGCAAUAAUAACCCCACUAACUUUAUAAUUAAAGCAGGAAUAGUCAAAAACGUCCCUCAAAACAAUUAAGGAAAUCCGACUCAGACUGGGAUUACGCAGUCUGUGACGGCCCGUUGUGCCUGCGACGGUCCGUCCUGCUGCUCCGUCAACGAGUUCAGACACUCAAUUUCCUUGAAGAGUCUGUGACGGUCCGUCGUGCCCACGACGGUCCGUCCUGCCAUGUCGUUACGAAGUUCAGAGAGUCGAUUUCAGUACCCAUAUUUCAGAAUUUCUAAGUGUUUUGAAACGAGACCUCCUCGACGGUCCGUCGUGCCCAUGACGGUCCGUCGUGGGGUCCGUCGUCUGUCUCAAUUUUCCAGAAAUAAAAUCUGCUGCCUAAAACGACUAAACAGGUCGUUACAAUAGAUACCAAUUUACCCAUCGUUCGUCCUCAAACGAUCACAAGAAAAGAAACAAGGGCGAGAAGGAGUACCUGAAUCUGUAAACAGGUGUGGGUAUCUUUCUUGCAUAUCAGCCUCCUUCUCCUAAGUAGCCUCUUCAACUGGUCGAUUCUUCCAUUGAACUUUGAUGGAUGCAAUCUCCAUUGACCUCAACUUGCAAACUUCUCUACCUAAAAUAGCUACAGGUUCCUCCUCAUAAGACAAAUUCUCAUCAAGCAGGACCGAAUCCCAACGGAUAAUGUAGUUUCCAUCCCCAUGAUAUCUUUUCAACAUAGACACAUGGAUACAGGAUGCACUCCGGAACGCCCUGGAGGCAAGACUAACUCAUAAGCCACCUCCCCUACUCGCUUAAGUACUUCAAAGGGACCAAUAUACCUUGGGCUUAGUUUACCUCACUUACCAAACCGCAUCACCCCUUUCAUUGGCGAAACCUUCAACAAGACUUGUUCACCCUCCAUGAACUCUAAGUCUCUAACCUUUCGAUCUGCAUAUUCUUUUUGCCUACUUUGCGCCGCUAGAAGCUUUUCUUGAAUAGACUUCACUUUCUCUAAUGAAUCCCUCAAAAGGUCAGUACCCCAAGGUCUAACCUCAAAUGCAUCAAACCACCCAAUGGGAAACCUACAUCUUCUCCCAUACAGUGCUUCAAAUGGGGCCAUAUCAAUACUUGAGUGAUAGGUAUUGUUGUAGGAGAACUCUGCUAAGGGUAAGAAGCUAUCCCAAUGACCACCAACUUCUAUCACACAUGCACGAAGCAUAUCCUCCAACACUUGAAUCGUUUGCUCAGACUGACCAUCGGUCUGAGGAUGGAACGCAGUACUAAGGUCCAACCUAGUACCCAAUUCCGCAUGCAAUGUUUUCCAAAACUUAGAAGUAAACUGCGUACCUCUAUCUGAUAUGAUGGAGAGUGGAACCCCAUGCAACCGAACAAUUUCUGAGAUAUAGAUUUUGGCUAACUUCUCUGCAUUGUAAGUCACCUUGACCGGAAUGAAGUGAGCAGACUUAGUUAACCUAUCAACAAUCACCCAAAUAGAGUCAUACUUACCCAUUGUCUUUGGAAGACCAACCACGAAAUCCAUUGCGAUUCUCUCCCAUUUCCAUUCAGGAAUGGGCAUUCUCUGAAGUGUUCCUCCGGGCCUCUGGUGUUCAUACUUUACUUGUUGACAAUUUGGACAUUUGGCAAUAAAAUCAACAAUAUCACGUUUCAUUCCACUCCACCAAAAGUGUUGCUUUAGGUCACGGUACAUCUUGGUUGCACCCGGAUGUAUAGAAUACCUUGAACUAUGAGCCUCUGUCAGAAUAGUGUUGAUCAAAUCAUCGACGCGAGAUACACAUACCCUUCCCUUAAUCCUCAAAACACCUUCCUCAUUGAUUUUCACUUCUUUAGCCUCUCCUUGCAACACUUUAUCUCGGAUCCGGGUCAAUUUCUCAUCAUUAAAUUGCUUUCCCUUAAUCUUGUCAAGGAAGGAAGAUCUUGCCUCCACACAAGCCAAAAAUCCUCUCAUUUACUUCUAACCUCAUAAGGUCAUUAGCCAGAAUCUGAACCUCUCUAGCCAAUGGGCGUCUAGAAACUUGCAAGUGAGCUAGACUUCCCAUGCUUCCCGUCUUUCUACUUAAAGCAUCUGCCACAACAUUCGCUUUUCCCGGAUGAUACAAGAUAGUGAUAUCGUAGUCCUUUAGUAGUUCCAUCCAUCUCCUCUGUCUCAAGUUCAAAUCUUUCUGAGUAAAGACAUACUGUAGGCUGCGAUGAUCCGUAUAGACCUCACACUUAACCCCAUACAGAUAGUGUCUCCAUUGCUUUAAUGCAAACACUACCGCAGCCAAUUCCAAAUCAUGGGUCGGAUAGUUACGUUCAUGCACUUUUAAUUGUCUUGAAGCAUAAGCAAAUAUAUUCUUCUCUUGCAUUAGCACUUCACCCAAACCCGAAUAGGAUGCAUCACAAUAAACAAUGAAGUUCUUACCUUCCACGGGCAAGGUGAGAAUGGGUGCGGUAGUCAACAAAGUCUUGAGCUUCUGAAAGCUUUCUUCACACUCGUCCGACCAUACAAAUGGAACAUUCUGCUUAGUCAUGUUCGUCAAUUGGGAAGCAAUGGAAGAGAAUCCCUUAACAAAUCGAUGGUAAUAGCUAGCUAAACCAACAAAGCUCCUUAUUUCUGACACAUUAGUGGGUCUUACCCAAUUCUUCACUGUCUCAAUCUUAGAAGGAUCCACCAUCACUCCAUCCUUAGAAACCACGUGCCCCAAGAAGGACACCGAAUCUAGCCAAAACUCACACUUGGAGAAUUUGGCAUAAAGCUUUUUCUUCCUCAAUAUUUCCAAUACAAUUCUCAAAUGCUCCCCAUGUUCUUUCUUACUCUUUGAGUAUAUUAGUAUAUCAUCAAUAAAUACGAUCACAAAGAGAUCCAAAUAUGGCUUAAAAAUCCCGUUCAUCAAGCUCAUGAACACAACAGGGGUAUUCGUAAGACCAAAAGACAUCACUACAAAUUCUUAAUGCCCAUACCUGGUUCGAAAAGAAGUCUUUGGCACAUCCGUUGCCCGUAUUUUCAAUUGAUGAUAACCGGAUCUCAAGUCAAUCUUAGAGAAGACACAAGCACCUUGUAACUGAUCGAACAAGUCAUCAAUGCGAGGAAGAGGAUAGUUGUUCCUAAUAGUUACCUUGUUCAACUGCCGGUAGUCUAUGCACAUCCGAAAACUUCCAUCCUUCUUCUUCACAAACAAAACCGGAGCACCCCAAGGAGAUGCACUUGGUCUAAUAAAGCCUUUGCUCAACAACUCUUGAAGUUGGACCUUUAACUCUCUUAACUCCGCGGGAGACAUUCUAUAAGGGGGUAUAGAAAUGGGGCGAGUGCCCGGUUCAAGAUCAAUGCAGAAGUCAAUAUCCCUAUCUGGUGGCAUACCAGGAAGAUCUGCAGGGAACACAUCCAAAAACUCACGCACUACCGAAACCGACUCAAUCGAAGGUACUUGGGUAGUAUCAUCCCUGAGGUGUGCCAAGAAAGCUAAACAACCCUUAGUAACCAUUCUCUUAGCACGAAGAAAGGAGACGAUACGAACCGGAUUGGAAGUGUAGUCACCCUCCCACACUAAUGGAUCUGUCCCAGGCUUGGCUAACGUCACAGUUUUUAGCAUUACAAUCCAAGAUCAAGAAAUUCGGAGAAAGCCAAGUCAUACCCAGACUUACAUAAAAGUCAACUAGAAAAUCGUAGGCAUCCUCCGAUUCAGCACCCUUGAAGACUAGAGGUUUCAAUUUCAAGAACUUACUGAAAAGUUCAUGCUGAUCAUUUGUCAUUAUAGGCCCUGUAGUCAGAUGAGGAAACAUGCCUAUUUCCAAUGAGGAAUCCAUGCGGGGAGCCAUAGUAGCCGCAUGUUAUACCUCCGGAACCUGAGGUGCUGUUGCAAAAAAUACUGGGGUGUCUGGCCCUGAUCAGAUAACCCGCUAAGAUAAGUCAGAACCUGAUUGAUCAUCUCUGGGGUAGGUUGGGGUGGCAUUUCCUCAUUCUGCACUUUUUCAUUCUCCCCCUCUCUUACUACUUCCUCAGUCGGUGGAGGAGUCACCGCCCUAGUACCAGAUGGGCUAGGUGCUCGUCCUCUUCUUCUAGAGGACGUCCUCCCACGACCUCUACCGCGGCCUCUUGUCACUGCUCCUCUUUGAGCUACAGUCUCAGUGGCUGGCUCAAAUGCAUCUUGUCUCGCUGAUGUUGAUGUUGGCGCGGUUGUUGCUCUAGUUCUAACCAUUUGCGAAAUAGAGUGAGGAUGGUCAGAUACCAAUUUGUAUCACCUAGAUACCAAUUGGACCCAAGUAAUAGCACGAAAGAAAGAAUGAAAGAAUGGAAUUUUCCUAAAGUCUUAUAGCCUCUCAAAGAAAAGUAAAGGCGUCCCCCUACCGUUCCUUAAGACUCUACUAGACUCGUUCUUGUGUGAUGAGACCAACGAACCUAAUGCUCUGAUACCAAGUUUGUCACGACCCAAAACCGAGCCGCGACUGGCCCCCACACUUACCCUCAUAUGAGAGCGAAACAACCAAUCUAAACAUUAACAUUUCAAUAUAAUAUCAACAGAAAGUAAUGCGGAAGACUUAAACUCAUUAAUAAAACUCAAUUCAAUAACUUCUAAAAACUCAACAACUAUUUGUAACGACCUAUUUAGCCGUUUUGAGCAGCAGAUUUUAUUUCUGGAAAACUGGCCGAGACGACGGACCCCACGACCGACCGUCAUGGGCACGACGGAAAUCCCUCAAAACAGGAAUAGUCAAAAACGUCCCUCAAAACAAUUAAGGAAAUCCGACUCAGACUGGGAUUACGCAGUCUGUGACGGCCCGUCGUGCCUGCGACGAUCCGUCCUGCUGCUCCGUCACAGAGUUCAGAGACUCAAUUUCCUUGAAGAGUCUGUGACGGUCCGUUGUGCCCACGACGGUCCGUCCUGCCAUGUCGUUACGAAGUUCAGAGAGUCGAUUUCAGUACCCAUAUUUCAGAAUUUCUAAGUGUUUUGAAACGAGACCCCCUCGACGGUCCGUCGUGCCCAUGACGGUCCGUCGUCUGUCUCAAUUUUCCAGAAAUAAAAUCUGCUGCUCAAAACGACUAAACAGGUCGUUACAAUAUAUAUAUAUAUAUAUAUAUAUAUAUAUAUAUGAUGAAAUUUAAAUCUAGUUCAUGCUCAACAAAUUUUGUGUUGUCAGGUCAUGAGAGAACUAUAAAGAUGUUUUUCUUUCAAUUUUUUUUUAUAAAAGUUUAUUUUGAAAUCAUAUAGAACUUUUUAUAUCCAUUUUGUGUUAUUAUAAUUUUUCAACAAAGCACCAUAAAUAUUUUCAUAUAUAUAUAUACAUAUAUAUAUAUAUAUAUAUAUAUAUAUAUAUGAUGAAAUUUAAAUCUAGUUCAUGCUCAACAAAUUUUGUGUUGUCAUGUCAUGAGAGAACUAUAAAGAUGUUUUUCUUUCAAUUUUUUUUAUAAAAGUUUAUUUUGAAAUCAUAUAGAACUUUUUAUAUCCAUUUUGUGUUAUUAUAAUUUUUCAACAAAGCACCAUAAAUAUUUUCAUAAAACAAAAUAUUGUAUGUUUCUCUAGUAUUGAAAUAAUAAUAAAAAUUAAUUUUAUUGAGUCUUUAUUUGUGUAUGAUGUGAUUCAUAUACAGUCGAAGAUAUGAAGGUAAUCACAUAAAAGAGGACACAUGAUGGUAAUUUCAGUUAACUUCAUAUUUUGCUCACAUAUAUUUUGAGUAUAAUCGAAUAAAAUAUAUUUUUAUCAUUAAUUUUUUUCUAAAAAGUCGAAGCAUAACAACAACUCCUUUAAAUAAAUAAAGAGUAAUUGUUUAGCCAAUUCGCCAAUUUCAUAUUUUUAUUUUUGAGUGUUUUUAUAUAAACUUUUGAUAUUUAAAUUUAAAUAUAAAUUAUCUUUUCAAGAUUAGAAAUUAUAAAUUAAAAUUGAUAAUCUACUUCUCUUUAAUACUUUAAAAUUUUUCUUAUCCUUACGAAAUAAGAAAUGGAAAAUAAAUGAACAAAAAAGAAUAAGUAAAAAGGAGUAAAAUUUGAAAUUGAACGAGAUAUAUUUUUUAUUUUUUUUACUACUACGGUGUGUGUGUGUGUGUAUAUAUAUAUAUAUAUAUAUAUAUAUAUUAUUUUUAUUUAUUUAUUUUAGAUCUUGAAAAUUUCAAGUGAGAAGAGCGUGAGAGAAUUAUGUUUUCUUUGGUGAAUUCUUUGGUUACUUUCUUAUGUUUAACUAUAAAAUUAUCAAUAAUUAAUUUUAUCAAUCAUUUUCAAUGUACUGGAAAUACAAUUGAAGAAUAUAUUAAAGGGAAAAAAUGUCUAAAAAUAAACUAGUUUAUAGUGUGAACAUAUCCUUCUACAAUUUUGGCCAAAUUAUGGCCAACUUUUUAUGGCCAAAGGGAUUUUCCCUCUGAAGUAAUAGUCACGACAACAAAAAUAAUUUUUAGCAGCAAUAAAUAGACACAUUAAUAAAGAGUGUUAAUUUUUUUAUCGACUUAGUUAAGUGUCAUUAGAUUCGGUGUUGCUAAAGGCUUUGGGGUAGGACACAAUUAUACAAAAAAUAAAAGGUUACUAGGCCUUUCAACUUCAAACUCUGGAAAGGGAUGAAGUUGGCGAAGUAAUAUGUUAAUUAAAAUAAAAGGCCAAUAUUACGGCAUCUCCAAUCCAAACACCAAAUUUUACACCAAAUUUGGUGUCGCCAACUCCAGCCCACUGCACCAAAUUUUACACUAAAGAAUCUUUUUCUCUCUCUUCAUUAUUAUAUUAUUAUAUCUUAUUUCAUUUAUAUUUUCUUUUUAGUAAAACAUAUUCUUUCUAAAACAAUCAUCAUAUAUAAUUCAGAUUAUUUCCUUUUAUAAUGGUUUAAUAUUAAAUUAUUUUGUAUCAUAAUUUUUUAAAUAAUAUAAAUUGCUAACAAAUAUUGUACAUUAUACAUAACAAUGGAUAAUACAAAUAAAACUGAAAUCAUUAAUGAAAUAUAAUUAAAUAAAAAUUACAUAAUUUUAAAAAAUUAUUUUAAAUUUCACAUAAAUACUCAACUUUCAAAAUCACUACGGUGCUCUCAUAAAUGAUCUAUUAAUGCAUUACAUAGUUCAAAAUUAAUUUCUUUGUCCUUUAUUUUUAAAUAUUGAGCUAGAAAUUGUUGAAAUUGAUAAUUUUCAUCUAUUGUCAUUUCUAUGAUCGGAGUUGUACCUUCCGAUGCAUUUUGAAUCGGUGCAUUAAGAUCACACUCAUUCUCACUUAUCAUGUUUUGCAUUAUAAUACAUGAAGUUAAUAUAUCAUGUAACACUUCUUUUCUCCAAAAACGUGACGGUCGUGCGAUAAUUGCAAAACGAGAUUGUAGUUUAUACGAAUUAGAAAAAAUUACGUGGGAUGACAAACUAUACUCAGUAUUAAUUAAUAAGAGUAUAGUUUAAUUUAUUUACUCUCAGUAAUUAUAGUUUCAUUUUUUUGCCAUAAUUAAUGGGAUCCACCAACUAUUUGUAUACCAACCGUAAAAGACCUAUUUAUGAUUUUGUGUAUAACUUUAUGCAAAAUCAAUUUUGUCUCUCUUAUCCCCGUUUCAUCUCUUUCUCCUAAAAUCACUCCUCCACUCUAUUUUGAAUUUCAAAAUUUGGAGAUUUCUCGUUGUCCCUUCCAUCUUGCUCUCAAUUUUCGCAGGUAAUCGCCAAAAUCAACCCAUGAAUUUAUUUUUUUCCUUUAUCAACAAUUGUAUAUGUAUUAUGUUUUUUAGUUUUUCAUAUUUUUUUUAUAAAAAAAUCUUCCUUUCGUAUCUAAUACAAGUUCUUCAAAAUCAGCAUGUAGGAUUCAUCUCCAUCUGUAAGAAUUACCUGCUUGUGCAUAUAGUUGUUUGUACAUUGGAUCAUUAUAUACAAACUAGUCAAGGUAUUUGUGUUAUUAUAUUCAUAUUUUAAGUUUUUUGUAUAUUCAACUAGUUAUAUAUGUAUAUACAAUUACUUUUAAAAAAUUGAUAUAAUUAUUUGUAUUAUAAGUUAUUUUAAAUCAUAUUUUUUUUUUGUAUUUUACGUUAUUAUAUACAAAAUUGCUUGAGGGAUUUGUGUAUAUACAUGUGUUGUAUUCAUACCUUUAUUUAUACAUAUACAACUACUUAUAUAUGUAUAUUAUAAUUACUUUACAAUUUGAUACAAAUCAAACAAUUUAUAUAUUCAUUUUAUUCACAUACGUACAUAUAUAAACUUUGUUUAUACACACACAAUUUUUUGUAUAUUCAACUAGUUAUAUAUGUAUAUAAGUAAUUACUUUAAAAAAUCUGGUACAAUUAUUUGUACAAUAAUUUAUUGAGAUAAUUUCAGAGACCUCCCUCCAUGUUUCGCUUUAUAACACUCACCUCCCUUGUGGUUUACAAUAUUAUGUCUAUCUCCUUUAUUCCCGUUUACUUGUAACUAUUCUUUACACCUAUUUAAAAUAAAUAUAAAUUAAUUUAGAUUUGAUAAUUUUACCCUUCUUUAUAUUAAUAAAUAUUGUAUAAAAAGCAACUCAUUUAGCAUAUACUUUAAAAAUAAAUCAAUACAAAUACAUAUUUUUUUAUCUAACAAAAAUCAAAGUCUUCAUUCAAGCUGACCCACUAUUUUCACCAAAUAUUAACUUUUCAUCUCCAUUUCACUUUUAUCAAUUCACAUAGAUUUUUUCCUACAAUAACUCAUUAUUUUUCGGCAACAAUUUCUUCAAAUAUAAGAUAUAAAUGAACUCCCCAAGAAAGAAAUUCGAUAAGAAUGAUCAAAUUUUUUUCUAGUUAAACAUUUCCACGAGCGAAAAAGAAACAUGAUUCAACGAAUAGAGAUAAAUCAUUGAAAUUAGAUCUAAAUUUUCAUAUAUAAGGGUAAAAUUAUCAAAUCUAAAUUAAUUUAUAUUUAUUUUAAAUAGGUUUAAAGAAUGAUUACAAGAAAACUGAAAUAAGGGAGGUAGACGUAAUAUCGCAAGCCACAAGAGAGGUGAGUGUUAUAAAGCGAAACUUGGAGGGAGGUCUCUGAAAUUAUCCUGAAUUUGUUUUAGAUCACAAUUUUUUUUGUAAAAAUUUAAGGAAUCCCAUAGUGUAAUUCAAUAAUUACACUCUGUCCCGACAAAUUUAGUUUACUAAAAAUCCCUUAAAAUUUUUGUGACGUGAUACUUUAGACUCUAGUGAUACAUGGUAAAUUUAAACUGUAAAGAAAAAAAUGGGGAAAAAAUGCUACAUUUAAACUUGUUAACUAAAAUAGCUUAAUUUACGGUAACAGAUCAUUAAUCAACAUUAAAUUAGCACGUCAUUGGAUAUUAAUUUCAAAUUUUGAAAAUCAAAGAUUGUAUCAUCUAUUUUGAAUACAAUUUUCAAAACCGCAUGAUACAUAGAAAACAUUAUGAUACACAACAAAUUCAUGUAUCAAUGCAUCGUCUAAAACACUAUACACAUUGAUUCAAAAUGUAUCAGCAAGCACACUUGAUGGAUUCAAAAUGUAUCAAUGCAUCAUCUAAAAUACUAUGCACACUUGAUGGAUUCAAAAUGUAUCAGCAAACACUUCAUGUAUCAAUGCAUCGUCUAAAAAACUAUACACACUGAUUCAAAAUGUAUCAGCAAGCACAUUUGAUGACGCAAUUAUUGAAAUUAAUCACUGAUACAUGAUAAAAAUUUUCAAAAACCCUUGAUACAUAGGAAAUCAUAUGAUACACAUCUAAUUCAUGUAUCAAAUCAUAGACUAAACAUUAUAAUCCACUUAGUACUUAUGUAUUAAACCUAUUGUCUGAUACGUGAUGAUAAUUUUCAUAAUUUUUUGAUACAUAUUGGAUUCCUUAAAAUUUUUACUAAUUUCAACAAUAAUUUUGAAAUAAGUAUAAAAAUACAAACCCGAAACAAUGUAGGUGUGAAUCAUAUAUCCAAUUACGUGCUAAACCACAACAUGAUUUAAAAAUACACAUAAUAUGUGCAUAGCUCCUCCUAUGCAUAACAGUAGUGACUUACAAUCACUGGUGGUAAUUUUGUCGUGAAUAUGAGGUGCUUCAUAUUCAUGCUAGUUGCAUUAGUCACCACAAAAGCUCUAAAUUGUCAUCGAGGAAAGGUGAUUUUCUGCAGAGCUUGUUGUAAUUAGUCACCAUACACUCUCUUUAUCAUGUGUAAAGCCGGAGUAAAGUUUAGUAAAUGUUGGAGUAAGAAGAAUCGAAGACGUGGUGGAGUAAGAAGAACAAUAAGAACGGGAGAGAAAUUGUUCAGUUUUUUGAAAUUUCAAAUUUUUUGAAUUUUGAAAUUCAAAAUUUCAAAAUUGGGUGUUUUAAUUAAAAUUAAUUAAAUUAAUAAUUCAAAAUCCAAAAACUGAUUUAGAAGAUUGGGUGUUUUAGUGGAGAAAAAAUAGGCAUUAUAUUGGGGGAUUGUGUAUUAUAGGAGAGAGAAUAUUAUGUAUCUAUACACUUCUACUAAAAUUUAAAAAAAAUGAAUUAUGUAAUAUUUAAAAAAAAAGGAAAAUUAGAGAAUAUAAAACUUAUAGUUGUGUAUUUAAGUUUUUUUUUUGUAUUUUAUGUUAUUAUAUACAAAACUGCUUGAGAGAUUUAUGUAUAUACAAGUACUAUAUUCAUAUUUUUAUUUAUAUAUAUAUAUAAUUACUUGUAUAUGUUUAUAAUAAUUGCUUUAAAAUUUGGUACAAAUUAAACAAUUUAUAUUCAAUUUAUUUACAUUGUAUAUAAACUUUAUAUAUAUUAAAGAGUUUAGUUUCACGGAAAAAAGUUUGUUUUGUCUUUCUAUCACAACAUAAUUCUUUUUUGAGAAAAUAUUUGAUUUUGAAUGUUUAGCUUAAAUCAUGGAUUAUUUAAAUGUUUGUUACCGUAUUUAGGGCUACUGUUCUUAUGUAAUUGAAAAGUAAAAUAUAGUACAAAUUUAACAAAAAACGUUUUAUACAAAAUAAAAGUUACAAACAAUUUAAACUAUACCCAUAUAAUGUUAUUUUUAUAAAUUCAAUUUGCCAUAUAUAAAAUUUUUUCUAUAAAUAGUAGAAUUAACAUAAAUUUAUUUUUUAAAAAAAUUCAUAUAUAGAUGUUAAGACCCGAUUUCGAAAACUGAAGGGUUUCGAAGCCGAUUUCGCAACUUUGGCCAAUUUGUUAUAUUUUUAGGAAGUCACCACUUAAUCUUUUAGGAAAAAUUAAGAAAACCAAAUAAAAAAAGGAAGUUUAAAAGAAAACAUAAAAUCAGAGUUUUUGGGUAAGGGUUCAAAUAAUUCUCUAAGGAAGGGCUUAGGCACCUUAGGGAAUCCGCUGACACGCGGUUGACCGACGAAUUUUAAAGUUGGCUAAUUUUUAAGAUAAAACGUAGGAAUAUUUGUGAAAAUUUUUAUUUUAAGACAACUAAAAUCUUUUGAUACUUAUACACUCAUCUUAUUUCAAGUAUGAAAUAAGUCCAAUGUUAAAGUGUCAAAAUGAUAAUUUUAACUUAAUAUUUCUAUCCGAGGUCAAGUUUUAGAGUUGAAAAAUCAACACAUUAACUUAAACAUGGAAUUGAAAGCUAACUACUAACUAUGAAAGAAUAUAAAUGAUUCUCAAGUUAGUCUCGAAGCUUACAUUAUCUAACUUAAAAGAGGUUUUGAAGACUUAAAUAUUAAAACAACAAAAUAGAAGAGCCAUAAAAAAAAAAACCUCCAAAGGAUUCAUCUUAAGUUAAAAAAAGUUAACAACAAAACAAAGGGUUAGCAUUCACAAUGACCAAAAUAAUAACGAGAAAACAAACAUAAAUAAUAAAUUAUAAAAUUGAAAUUUCCAGCCCCUACUCGACCAUUUCGGGGCUGAAAUGUCGAUUUGUUACUUCGUCGAUUUUGGUUUUUAACCCCAUUUCAUGCUUCUUGCUUAGCUGCUGCCGGGAUUACUAUAUAAAUUGGACUUGUUAAAGUCCGAGAAAUCAACAAUUUGUGUCCCUUUGGGGACCUGCAGUUGCUGCUUCAGGUUUGGGAGUUUAAACCCAUUUUUUGCUCUUCAGUUUCGGCCUUUUAAGGCUGCUGCUGCUGCUGCAUUUUUUUGGUGUUUAAACCCAAUUUUUGCUCCUCAUUUGAGCUAUUUGGGAGCUGUUGUUGCUUCUUAUUUUUGGGUGUUUUACCCAAUAACGUAACUCCCUGGGUGUUUUACCCAAUAACGUAACUCCCUUUCGCGACUCCGAAGAAAGUUGACUCAAGAAGAGGAAUAAUGCAAGAGAAGGGAGUCCGGAUGGACUCAAAUAAAAUAGUUCAUGUAAAAUUCAAAGAAGAGAGAAAGGAUUAAUAACAAAUAAAUUUAAAGAGAUGCGUAUGAACAACAAGUCUUAACUACAUAUUUGACCUCAUCAAUAGAGAUCAAACAAGAAAGAGAUCACUUGGCCACAUAAAUGUUUCCAUUAAUCGCUACACAACUUCAACUAUAAGAGAUUAACAACAUGGAUCAACUUCAAGCCACAUAAAUUAAUAUUUGUCCAUCAGCCAAGAUUUUUAAAGGGAUACAACUAAAGAAAAUUUGAAAGAAGAAUCUAUCCAUGCUACUAUCAUUAUUCGACUUCCAACAAUACAGACAGACCAAAAAUAAGAACCAAUUUUGGAAAUCAGAGACUGCACUCAGCAACACCAUUGGUGGGCAAAAAUCUAAAAGAACAACAAAUAUUCAUACCCCAAGCCAAUAAAAUAGCAAAUAUAACAUGAGAACUUUGGAACAUCUUGUUUGAGUCAAUUCUCUAAAGUUGGAUUAGAACAUAGAACAAGUGAUCUCAUUGGAAGAGAUAACAAAAUUAGAAAUCAAUCUUAUUAACUUGGUGGGUUCAUAUCACAUAAAGGUCGCCGAUGGAAAGAAGCUAUAUGACAGAAUCCAAAUAUACAAACUUAACAUCAAACUAGUUCAAACACUAAGCGAGGAUAAGUUGACAAACUUCAUGUGAGAGCUAAUUUUGAAGAGAAUGAAAGAGACAAUAAAUCUGGUUUAAUGCACACAAAUAACGGGGAAAAGAAAUUAACCAUAUAUCUUAGCUUAAGCAAAAUAAUCAAACUAAUUCAAAUAUAAGAAACAUGUCAAACAUCGACCAAUACAAGAGAAAGCCACCAGUAAUCCUAACUACAUGGUGCGACAAACAAUUUGAGCAAAGAAACAGCAAGCAAUGGAUAGCAAUUAUGAAUGUCCUAUUCUAAUUCAAAAUAUUUAAGAAGUGGGCAGAAAGGUAUUAAGCAAGAAUUUUGCAGAUUUUCCUAGGACUCAAACUCGUCAAUAAUUUGAACAAAAAUAAUAAUAAAUAAACGAACAAUCUGUAAAGUGUAUGAAAAUAAAGUAAAGAAAAAAAAAAUCUUAAUCGAAGAACUUAAUAAAUAAAAGAUAUGAGCCAACACGAACCAGAUGCUUAAUUUCUACAAGAACAAGUGUAACGACUAAGACCAAGAUAAACAAUGACCUUUAGAACUAAUCUCAGAUAAGAAACACAAACAAGACACCAAAAAUGUUAGGAAAAUUUAUAACAAAAUCAUAACGCUGAGAACAUUACUGGUUGCUUAAGAUGUUAAACCAAAGUAUAACACAGGAAAACUAAAACAAAGCUAAGAACACCAAAUAAAUAGAAAGCAUAAAAGAGUUGGGAAUUAAACAAAACAGAGUUAAGAAAGAAUUUACCUCAUUCCGGGCAGCGAACUGAAACGACGAGUAAAGAAAAUGAUUCCACCACCUUUAUCAACUCGGAAAACCAAAAAACUUAAACUAUCGAAAUAAGAUUUCCCAAACCUUUAUGGGGUACUCUCUCGUUUCAAAAAAAAAUCCUCCUCCUGAACAAUGAAUGAAGAAGGUUUAUAUAGUGCAACUUCUGGGUUAAAAUAUAAAGGGGGAAACAAUGUGGGACAAGCUGAGAUUUCAAAUUUUCUGGAGAAUAAGGUGUGAACUGCAAUUCGUACCAAAUUCUAACGAAUUGGGGCGGAGAGUCGUCCGAUUUCGAGCCAAGGACGAACUCCGAAGGAGAUGGAGACACCUUGAAAAUUUUGAGUACAUUACUCGUACGAGAAGAAAAAGAGAGAGCAUGCCAUUUUGCUGGGUUCGUGUCUGAUGCGAGUUGGAGUUGCGUGAUUUUUUGGUUUUGUCGCGUUGCUUGUGAGUUGUUUUGCUG
rnacentral:lncRNA from 1 species